rnacentral:lncRNA from 1 species
AAACUUUAACUAUGUUUACAUAGAAAAUAUAAAACAAAAUAUGAAUUAAUAGUAUUCCAAACAGAACAUUAUAAUCUUCAGAAGAAAUUGCUCUGAUUUUACAAAUAUUUUAUAAAAAAAGUAAAAUGAUAGUAAUGAUUUUGAUGUUAUAUUGGAUGUUAACACAACAAAAUCAUUAGUAUAAUUUAAACAAAAUCAUUAAUAUAAUUUUAAAAAUGUGAAUUAAUGGUAUUCCGAACAGAACAUUUUAAUCUUCGGAAGACUUUGCUUUGACUUUACAAAUAUUUCAUAAAAAUUACUAAUAGUAAUAAAACAUUUCAAAUCAAACACAAAAUUGAAAUAGCCCAUUUUUCUUAAAAUAAAGAUUACUAAUAGUAAUAAAACAUUUCAAAUCAACCACGAAAUUAAAAUAUUCUAUUUUCCGCGCGUAGCGCGGACAAAGACUCUAGUAAUAACAAAAGACAAAAUAAGAGGCCCAACAUUCAAAACGUAAAAAGAGCAAGCGUAAACCAAAAAAAAAUCACCUGCCACGUGUCUAAUUUUGCCCAUGCUAAAACGAUGAUGUGGAGGAAGGAGGAGAGAGACAACUAUCCUUUAUUGUAUAAGAUUCCAUGUUGUUUUUACUUCAAUCGUCAUUACUUCAAUCGUGACUAACGAUGCUUUAAUAUUCACGCAGAAGCAUAGCAGUGAAUAUUCUAGUAUACAUUGGCACAUUGCAAUCGAAGAAAAAGAAUGAGGAAUCUAAAUAUUUAAAUUACACGAAAAAGACAAAUCUCUUCACUUUUUCAAAUUGACGCUAUUUGAAACAGUUAUAUACAUAUAUAAAUAUAUAUAAGGAAAAUCGCAUUUUAAACUUUCGGAGUGUCACAUUCUCGUAUUUUAAACACUAAACGUUUUUCACUAGCACUUUAAACUUUGAAAGUGACAUUUUUAUCAUAACAAACCUAUAACAAACCUCCAAUGAAGUUUACUUGAUUACCAAGUCAACGAGUUGAUAUGUACUGUUCAUUUUGUGAUGACGCGUCGGUUUCUUUUUUUUUUCUUAAAAAAUAAAUAAAUAAAAUACAUAAAAAAUUCGAAAAAAUUGAUAUUUUGAAAAAUUCAAAAAAUAUAAAAAUAACAUUUCAAAAUUAAAAAUAAAAUAAAAUAUUUUAAAAAAAAUAAUCCAAUUAUACACCAAUAAAUAUAUAUAUAUAUAUAUAUAUAUAUAAUAUAAUAACUUGAAUGGUGAUACUAGAUUCUGUUUUUUGGUUUUUGAUUUUUUUUUUAAUUUUUGAGUUAUUAAUACUUAACUUAUUAAAUUUUUGUGAAACUAGAAAAUAUCUCAUAGACCACUUAAAAUGUUUUUGACCUUAACUAAAAUACUAUAAGUUAGUUUGAAAUAUAAUUAAGAGAUAGAGAGCUAUGCCUUUAGAUUUGUAUAUGUUAGGUUUUGGUAUGAGUGGAGCUUCUUAGAUAAGUAACAUAUAUUUUAGUUUCUCUAAAGUUUGAUUAGUUAUUUAAUUUCAAAGUUAUUUACUAUUUUAAGAACUUCACUUAUAAGUUAAUUUCUUUUUAAACAAACUUAAAAUUACUAAAUAAAUAUCAUUUUAAUAAAUAAUACAAAUAAUAGGAUUAUUUUGAAAAUUUAACAAGUUAAGUAUUAAUAAAUCAAAAAAAUUUAGAAAAAUCAAAAACCAAAAGCCAGAAUCUAGAAUCACCAUUCAAGUUAUUAUAUUAUAUAUACUUAUUGGUUUAUAAUUGGAUUAAUUUUUAAACAUAUUUAUUUUAUUUUUAAUUUUGAAAUGUUAUUUUUUAUAAUUUUUUGAAAUUUUAGAUUUUUUGAAUAUUUUUUCGUUUUUUCGAUUUUUCUAUUUUUUCGAUUUUUUUAUUUUUUUUAAUUUCUUUUUAAUUUUCUGUAUAUUUUAUUUUUUAUUUAAAAGAAAAAAAAAGCGACACGUCAUCACAAAAUGAACAGUACAUGUCACCUAGUUGAUUUGGAGGUUUGUUAUGAUAAAAAAAUGUCACUUUCAAAGUUAAAAAAAAGUGACACGUCAUCACAAAAUGAACAGUACAUGUCACCUAGUUGAUUUGGAGGUUUGUUAUGAUAAAAAAUGUCACUUUCAAAGUUAAAAAUGAUAGUCAAAAACGUUCAGUGUUUAAAGUGCGAGAAUGUGACAUUCUCAGGAUUUAAAAUGCGAUUUUCCCUAUAAAUAUAUUAGAGCAUGAUUAUUGGGGGUCUUUGCUCUUGGGUCUUUAAUACACAUAUAUUUGUAUGUAUAUAUUAUAUAUAAUAUAUACAUACAAAUAUAUGUGUAUUAAAGACCCAAGAGCAAAGAUCCCUAAUAAUCAUGCUCUAAGAAUCUCUCGGUUAAAUAACACAAUGGCCGGACCUUACGUAUCACAACAAGAAUAUAAAGAGAGUUAAGCAAAAAAACAUAUAUAUAUAUAUAUGCACAUGACAAUGUGUUUCAAAAAAAAAAAUGCACAUGACAAGAUGUAUAUUGACCAUCUUUGCAGAACUGUUCUUGUUCUACGGUUCUAGCUUAAAUAAGAACCAAAUAUAUAUUUUUUUGUUAUAUAGUUUUUCUGGAACUCAUCUGUUUUCAUAGUAUUUAACUAUUUAUAUAUGGUAGAUUCACAACACGUAAAAACGAAUUAGGAUCUGUAGCAUUAAAAACAUCUACUUUAAAUCAGUCAAACUAAUCUCGCAUUUCAGUAAUGAUUCAGAAAUACAUUUGGCAUAAUAUUAUCAACUUGUAACAAGUCAAACUAAUCACUAGUUAUAGUAUCUUAAACAAUGUUGUCACUUAUAGUAGGCGUUUACUCUCGUCCUUUUAUAUAUAAAAAACCACAGUUUGUAUAUUUAAUUUUCCAUCAUUCAAUUACCAUAUAGUCGUCUCUUUGGUGAUCAUCAUCUUCCUUCCUAACAGACUUUCUUUUUCUGUCUAGUACAUUUAAACACAAAUAGAUAUACGAUUAUUUAUCUUCCUUACUUCGGGGAAAAUAUGGAGAAAAUGUUGUGUCUUAUACAUGCCGGUCGAAUUGUUUUCGCGUUUGCGUUUAUAGUGUCUGCUUGGAGAGAGUAAACACUAAUCAAAAUAUAGAUCUAAAUGAUAUAUAUUGGUUUUUCUUUAAUCUAAUUGUUAAUAUUCAAUGUUUUUUCCUUAAGGUAUGAUGAUGAACGUGCUUGGUUGGUAUUUAACCUUAAUGGUGAAGAAGCUGCUGAGGAGUACAUAAUUCUUGGUAUAGUAAUGAAGGUAUUUGGAGUGAUAUGAUACCAAAUUGUUAAGUAUAUCACAUACGAGAAAUUAACAAAUCUAGUUUAUCUAAUUGUUUCAUUAUAUUGAUCAAAAUAUUUUUAGGCCAAGUACAUAAUUGGUCUUGGUAUAAUGAUGAAGUUAUACGGAGGGAUAUCUUUCCUCUCCAGCACUUACCCCGGCGCACUUAUCUUGGUAUAUCAAUUCACGUCAUUAUCUUAUUGUUAUGUUUAACCUUGAAAUAACAAACCAUAUGUACUAAUUACUAAACUCUUGCAUGUUGUUUGAUCUUAGCUCAUAUACCAAGCAAUAUUGAGCCCGGUUUUGUAUGAUCUCUACAAUCGAGGUUACAUACAAUUUCGACAAUCGUAUCAACAUUUUCUACAAAUCUCUCAUCGCAGUAAGAACCAUAUCCGCGGCUAGACCUGGUGUAUUUAAUGUAUUGAUAAUAUAUAAUUAUAACAAACCUGAAAUACAUGAUUAGCUUGUGGAGAACUCAGUUUAAGCAACGCAAGGCACCGGAAAUUUUGCGAUCAAAUAAGCGAGGUGACGAAUCUGACUAUAACAAUUAUCAUCUUACUAUCUUUUACAUAACUUUCUUUGUAAGUAACCCGAUCCGAGACUUAAGACUUUAAUAAUCAAUUUCUUUGUCGCUAGUUACUAUUAAGUAUUAACUAACUAGAUAUGAUUAUAUACAAGUAUAUAACACAAUAGAAAUGUAUGAUCAGUAUGUGAACGAGACGCUAUCGGUAGAUAAUGGAGCGUCCGUGGCCAUGUGCCACCACGAGUCCAUAGAUCAGGAACUUAUGAGCCAGAAAUUUUGCGAUCUAGUUAACGAGGUAAUCAAGUCUCAUUACUUUUAUUAUCACACUAUAGAUUACAUAAUCUUCUGGAUCACUUUUUUUUUGCAGAUUGAGAGACAGGCUAACUCGAAUCCUCUGUUCACACAGAGCAAAUUUAACACAUUUUUCAUGCCCUUCAUCAAGGUAUAUGUUAACUAGCAAUAAUUGUCGGUUAGCAUUAAGAUAACAAUAGUCCAGACAAUAAAGUAUCAGAAACUAAAACUGGUUGGAUAUUCUUGUAGGGUUUUGGAAUAAUAGCUGCGUUGGUGUUCUUCAUUACGAUGAAACAUAAGUAUGGGAUGCUCAAGAAGCACAAAACUAAUUGAGCCGAUAUAUGGCUUUUCAAUUGUGUUUUAAAUAACAAGGGAUCUCUUGUUUUUAAAGAAUUUUUGUCUUGUCAGAUCCUGAAUGAAAUGUUGUCCUACAACACUGCAUACAAUUCAAAUUAGACUUUUAUGAGUUACUUUAAUACAAAUCACACUUUGACCAGCAGAGAAUUGAGAAACUUAAUUAAGACUUUGACCUGUAUUUAACGAUUUGUAUAGCUUGCGGAUAAAGCAAUUACAAAUCGUUGUCGAGUUUGUUCGAUGACCCUUUAGAUUCAACCAGUGUUUUUAAAAUCGGACCAACGAACUGAAAUUUUUUUAGGUCAUAGGUCAUUGUGGUUCAACCUGGCUUCGAUUGAUUUAAACCGAAUUUAAUUAUAUUUUGUAAUAGUAUAUAUAUUCUUACAAAGAUAGAUCUUAAUAUCAAAUAAAAUGUUUCAAUAACCAUAAUGUUUAGAAUUUUUUUUUAAAAAAAUAAGAAAAUGAAAGUGUAAUAAAAUGAUAAAAUAAUUUAAUAGUUUAAAUAAAAAAUCAAUAAGAAAAAAGAAAUUGAAACUAAGUUCUGUGUUUGAAUUAGGUGAAAGUUGAAUUUCUGGAUCAUUUUUUUCCAUUUCUAAGUACAUUGCAAAAAAAUAACGAAGGUUAAACCACAAGUAAGAAAAAAAAGAGAUCAUGUAAACUAAGUUUUGACUUGCUCGUGGAAUGAGAAGCAAGAAUAAUUAAAUGUUCUGUUCUUUUAUAGAUUACACAAAUUUCAAAAAUGUAAAUGUUUCAGUUAUUAAUUUUUUUUAAUACUAGUGAUCAUAAAAUAAUAAUUAAACAAAGUGAAAAGUAGACAAAAACAUAUCUUGACGUGAAGAUUUAAGUUUGUGAAUCUUGUAACUUGUGAGUUGUAGAGACAUAAAAAAAACGAGAAGGCUUAAUUAAAAAAAACAAACAACCAUACUUUAUUAAUCUUUCUGAAGCCCUAUUUUUACUUUAGAAGAAAAAAAGUUAAUUGUUUUAUUAACAAAAAUUUAGUUUAUAUACGAACCAAAGUUUGACUGUUUCAUUAGGUUACCGGUUCCUUAGGUUUUAAUGGUUCAAUAUAGACUUUUAAUCGGUUCAGCCUUAAUUAGAUUUUAGCAUUACCCCAACCCAUUUUGGUAUCCGGUACGCGGUUAAAACCAUCGGUCCGGAUCGGGUUUAAAACACUGGAAUCAACAAUGAAUUGGUUAUGGACUCGUAGUAGUAGUAUAGUAGCAUUUCUCUCUUUAGUGGAUAUGAAUCAUAGACACAUUCUGAGUAACAAGUAAUAAACUAGUUAAAAAUAGUUCAACAUUAAAAAAAAACUGAAUUACUAUAAAUAAAUCAGCCAUAUAGCAUGAAAAAUUUGUCCCAUCUUCUCGUUUUGGAAUAAGGAUUAGAAAGUCCCAAACACACAGAUCUCUUGUAUAUUAAAGGGUUUUUAGUAAUUAAACUCAUCAACUAAAGAUGAAUCGUAAAAUAAACCUUCAACUAAAAAUCAUGUGAAAUAAACUCUCAACUUCAAUUUCGUUAACAUAUGUUAUCCUCCGUCUAAAAAACCGUGACGGAGGGUGACAUAUGUUAACGGUUUGUAAGUUGAGGGUUUAUAAUGUUGAAAACUUAGUUGAGGGGUUUUUUUUACGAUUGAAAAAUAGUUGAAGGUUUUUUUCACUAAAAGUCAUUAAAUUUUUAAAAUCUUUAUUAUCAUUUAUAUAUUGUUUUAGAUUGGUUUAUAAGUCUUUAAAACUAAUUUAUAAAUUUUAAUACAUUACUUUAUAACCGAUUUAUAAAGCUUCAUAAACAUUUUAAUACUUUUGCAUAUGAUUAAUACGGUUUCACAAUUAUUUUAUAAGUUUUUACAGAUUCUGCUACUUUUUAGGAUAAAAUAAUCUAACAUUAUUCGUGAUACUACUGAAACAUAUAUUGCAAUACAAUAGUAAUAUAUCAAAUAUAUUUCUAUUGAUCAAGAAAACAAACAAAAAUAUAAUGUAUUGGAAUAAAAAUAAUCAUGCAUUAUUUUUUGGGAUAGAGGGAAAGUAUGAGCCAGAUGAUGAAAAUCAUGAAAAUAAGAAAAAGUGUGUCCUAACUCUAAAUAGAAAGAUUGACUUUGUGGAUGAAUUAUCCUCCACAAUUUUUAAGACUUAUAUAACUUAGAAAAAUUAAAUUAUUUGAUAGUUGACAAUGACAAUAUAAACACACAAAUUUUCUUAUAUCACUAUUGCCAAAUAUCAAAUAAUUUAAUAUUUUGAAGUUAUAUUAAGCUGUAAGUAGUGUUUAAAAUUAUUAAUUUAGGAUGUAUAAAUUAAUUUUAUAAUAAAGUUAUGUAUUAAAAUUUAUAAAUUAGUUUUAAAGGCUUAUAAAUCAAACUAAAACAAUAUAUAAAUGAUAAUAAAGAUUUUUUAAAAAUUAAUGACUUUUAGUGAAAAAACCCCUCAACUAUUUCUGAAUCGUUAAAAAUUAAUGAUUUAUAAGUUUUUAACAUUAUAAACUCUCAACUUAUAAUCUGUUAAUGUAUGUCACCCUCCAUCACGGUUUUUUAGACGGAGGUUAACAUAUGUUAACGGAAUUAAAGUUGAGGGUUUAUUUUACAUGAUUUUUAGUUGGGGGUUUUAUUUACGAUUCAUUUUUAGUUGAGGAGUUUAAUUACUAAAAACCUUAUAUUAAAAGAUAAUCUAUACAACCUUUUAUCUAUGCCACAUGGCAUUGUUAUAAUGAUUUUAAAAUCACUAGAGAAUUAAUAACUUGGUCCAUAUAAAUAUAUACUAUAAUUUUUGUUAAACUAAUUAUAAAUUGAUUAUUAAUGUACAAAACGAUAUUUUCAUUCUUUUCCUAAAGAAAAUCUACAUAAUUACCUAAUAUUAUUAAAAUAUACAAUUUUGAAUAAUAAAGAUUUGGUGACAAUUUUUAUAUCGUUCUUAAUUUUUGUUUAAUUUAUAUUAUAAAAUAAACUAAAUUAUCAUGUUGACCACACAAUAAAAAUUUGGAUUUUUCGUAUAUGUUAUAUUUUGAAUUUUUAAAAACAACUUCAAAUUACUAAAAUUGUUAAAGUCUCACAUUUAAAAAUUAUGAUCAAUGAUUUAUAUUUUUUGUUAUAGCUAGAUAGAAAUGAUCAUAAAACUAUAUGAAUAUAAAUUCUCAUUUAAUAUUUAUAGUCAUAUUGAAAGUAUAUAUAUUUUAAAACUGUUUAAAUGAAAUUAUAUACCAUAUAAAAAUAGAUAUUUUAGUUCUUAAAUUUGUAUUGAACAAGUAUUGAGAACUUAAUAUUUUAAUUUUGUAAUUUACAUUUAAUUUUAAAUACAAUUAUAAAUUACUACAUAGAUUAAAAGACCACACUGAAAUUUUGUUUUCAGCAAUUUAAAAUUUUUUUUAUAAAAAAAAUAAAUGAUCAUAAAAUCAUAUGAAUACAAAGUCUUAUUUAAUAGACAACUAUAUUAAAAAUUUAUACUAUAUGUGUAUGUUACUAUCAUUUAAAUUUAACUACAUACCAUAAAAAAUAAGUAAAUAUGAUUAUGUGUAGUUAUUUAUCAUAAAAUUAUAAAUAAAAAAAUAAUUAUUUUGAUUUAUGUGUUCGUGCCAAUUCAAUUAUAUAUGUAAAAAUUACUUGUUUCUCAAGUAUUCAAUAUAUAUUUAUCAUUUUAUAAUAUGUAAAAUACAAAUAAAUAAUAGUGUACGUAAAAAAGAUUUGUAUAUUGAAUGUUCAUCCCGUACAAGGCCUAAAUUUUAACUCAGUAUACAUAUCAUAAACACACCACAAGAAUGCAAAGAAAUAAUCCUUUCUCAAAAAAAAGAGAGGAAAAUGCAAAGAAAUACGGUUUAAAAAAUUAAACUAAAAGUUUUUUAGAAAUAUCGAUCAUUUUUUGAAAGUUUUAUAUUUUUGUAAUUGUAAUUUUGAAAACGCAAUAAUGUAAAUAGUUUUCAAGUUGAUAACUAAUUUUAAAUAUAUUCAAAUUAACUUUAAACUAUAAUUAUUGUGUAAACUAUAAAUGGGUGAUUUUAAAUCUUUUUUUUUCUCAUUUAAAUUGUAAAAAUUCAUUAAUAAUUUUAGAACUAGCAAAAUAAUUUUUUGAUCUUCUAAUCUUUUCAUCAUAUUAGUUUGAUUAUGUUAAUAUAUUAUCCAAUUCUUAUUAUUUUAUCUUUGAAAUUUUUUAUGAAUUAUCUGAGUUUAUAAAAUAGAAAGUAGGUCUCUAUAACUUUUAUAUUAUUUUUUAAAAGAAAUCGUUUAUACUAUGUUUUCUAGAAUUUCUAACUCUAAAAUUCAAAUUACAAAUAUGAACUUGGAUAUGAAGUGGAAAUAUUCUGAAAUUAACCAACCAAACUUUAAAAAUGAAUUUGCCAAUGGAGAAAAAGCAAACUUCCAACAAUGCAAAAGUUCAAAGAUGUACUAAAAAAUACACAGAAAUUUGUCAAUCACUUUCACCAUCAGCUAUAUUAAACUAAUUAUAAGAAAUUUCCACUUUCCAAUAAACAAAACAUUAAACACAAAAAUGCGCAUUUGUUCUUCUUCGCCAUCCCUCUCUGUGCCCUUUCUGUGGAAAAAAGAAAACUCAGAAAAAGUCUUUAAUUCUACUCCUCUGAUCCUUCAAUUGCGUAUCCUUAAACCCAUUAAACAAAAAAACUCUUUUGUUUCCUCACCGGUAAAACCGUCUGAUCUUUCCAGAAUCUUGUUUUUUUUUCUUUUUCUGGCGGCAAGGUUCUGAUUUUCUUUUUUUUUUUGUCGGAGAAGUAAACAAAUACUAUAUUUUGACGAUUUGGGUUUGUCUUGAUUUGGGUUGUUUGAGCCUUGGAAGAGGGAAAUGAUAGAUAUCCCUGGAACACCAGGGACUUUGACCGGUCUUGUCUUGAGAAUUUGUCAGUGCGUUUUUGCUGCUGCCUCCAUUUCUUACAUGGUUACCUCCGGUGGAUUCUUCAGCUACACUUCUUUCUGGUAAUCAACACUCUCUGUCUCUUACCUGAUCAAUCUUGUUAUUGAAAUCGAGGGAAGGUUUUUUAUAGAUCCAAUCUUCUUAGAAAAUUGCUUUUAGAAUCUUUAACUAGUUUAGACCUCUGGACUCUGCUCAGUACCGUGAAGAUCUCUGCUUUUUAUGUAACUAGUUUUGACAUGGAAGACGAUCUUGUUCUAGAGUCUAGACAGUUAUUGAUAUUGGUUUCUCUCCAGGUUUAAAACAUCAAGAAGCUAGGUGCUUUUUUGUAUUUUCUGUUUCUGAUGUAGAGGAAAAAGAUUUGAACUUUUAGCUUAUUUUCUUCUUACCCCUAGAGAUAUGGUUUUCAGCUACCUAAUUGCAGCAAUGGGUUUGCAAGUCAUAUGGAGUUUCGGCCUUGCGAUACUAGACACAUUUGCUUUAGCAAGAAAGAAAACGCUUGUUAGCCCGGUUUUGAUCAGCCUCUUUGUAGUUGGAGACUGGGUAAGUCCCUCUCUUUCUCUACCAAAUGGCCCAAGAAAGCAUCAAAACUUUAAAAUCAUCUUUGUUUGUGUGUGUUUUAGGUAACAGCAACAUUGUCUCUAGCAGGAGCCUCGUCCUCAGCGGGGAUAACGGUUUUAUACUUUGGGGAUUUAGGAAAAUGCAGUUUUGAAGCAGAGUGUUGGAGGUAUCAACUCUCUGUUGCUUUAGCUUUCCUUUCUUGGAUCACCAUCGCCAUUUCUUCACUUACCACUCUUUGGUUACUUGCUUCUGGAUAGUACCCCAACCAAGUUCAUCACUCUCUUGUACAAGUUCCAUAUAUAUACUGUUAGACAAACUCAUUUUUGAUUCUUUAUUUUGUUAAUACAAACGAUUACAUCAUUUUUUUUCUUAACUCUUCAAUGUAUACUCAAUUUAAAGUAAAAGUUUUGAUGUUAUAAACGUUUACUGUUUAUUUAUAUUAACAGAUUUUUGAACUGAGCUUGAGUGUCAUUUUUUCUGUAAAUUCCAAUUGUGGAUAGUGUUUGGAUCAGAACUAAAUCGGGGAAUUGCUCCCUAUAUACAUAAAAACACAAAUUCACUAUCUAACCAAAAACAUAUAUUUUUUUCUCCUCAUUUCUUUUUGUAUCUCUCUAACUUCUCGCUAAAAUCUAAUUACCUUUUUUUGGUUAUCUGGCAAAUAUUUGGCAAAUAAACCCAACUAAAUAUGAUAAACAAACAAAUAAGUUGGUUGGUUUGCCUUGCUUUGAAGCUAAAAGAUGACCAAGAUACAACGGCUGGGAAUAAAAUGGUUUAGUUUAAAUCUGAGUGGCAAAGAUGCUAAUAGUAAUACUAUGACCCACUUUGAGUCUUUGAGCACUAUCUUUGUACUAUUUUUGUGUCUUUUUUACUCCACCCCUUGCAUUUCCAGACUCCUCUACAUUUUGUAUGAUACAUUUUUGAUUUAUCUAUUUCCACCUCUCUAUUAUUUAAUCAAGAGACCAGGAGAAAAUUCACAAGUUUCUCAGACAAUUUAUUCAAAAAAAUAGGUUACUGCAAAAGUAAUAACAAAGAAUCAUCUGAAGGAAACAAAACUCCAAAAGUGAUUGAGAAAGGAAGCUUAAGCAGCUUUAGAGCAAUUCUCUUGAUCUUGAGAAGUAUCACGCUGCGAAGGCGGUAGUAAGUAUGGCAUCAUUGGGAUGUUUGGAUAGUAACCAUAACUUCCGUAAACGGCCAUUUUAUUCUGAUGGAAAGCUGCUGGCAUGAAACCAGGAGAUGGAACCGCCGCCAUUGAUCUCAUCUGUUGCUCCAUCUUCUCUUUAUCUGACUUCAACACCAUCUUCUCUUCCCUUAGCUCAUUCUUCUCCGCCUGAUGUAAACCAUUUAAAAACUGAAUAAGUCUCUUACAGUUUCAUGAGCCUUUAGGACAAAAGUGGGAAACCAACCUUGAGACUCUUGAUCUCUUCUAGAAGCUUCUGGUUGGUUUCUUUAAGCUCAUGAGCUUCACCUCUGAGAUGAUUCACUACCCUGAUUGCAUCGUCGAGAAUUACUGGUUUGUCAGUCUUUGGAGUCCUUGUAGGCUCCAAAACCGAGCUCAAAUCCAUGAACCUGAAACAAUAUACCAAGUGAAUAAAACAUCUAAAACACAUAUGUAUUAGGGCAAAAGAUGUAAACAUACUUGUCGUUUAGCAACUCCCUUCUUUUUUUCUCACGACAGGCUUUGGUUCCUGGCUUCCUACAUGGUCCAGUUCGUCCCCUGUGUUUCAGACAACGGAUACUAAACAAUAAAGAUCACAUUCAGUGUCAAGCCAAGAAAUAAAGCUUAAACGGUUACCUCUUUCUAGAGCAUUCUUCCUCAAACUCUUCCUUAACAAUUUCAACAGAUGAUGAAGAAUUGAUCUCCACAACGGGGCAACACGCUUGUCCCUGCUGUACAUGAGUGGCUGUCCCUCUAAAGCUACAGACUUGAUGUGUCCCCAUAUCAAGUUGUGAUGAUCCACCAAAAGGUCCUAAACCGUUGCUAUCAAGGUUUCCACUAAAGGCAUCAAACUGAUCACCAAUGUUAUUACAUACUUGUUCUUCCUCUGGAAGCAAAUUCACAUCAAACUCAGGAAAGAGGUUUUCCUGAUCUGUCUGCAUAAACCCGUAAGGAUCUUCUCCUCCAUUGCUACAGAAUCAAGAAACAACCAAAGAAUAAUCAUAAUUUUGAAGGCAGAAGAAACAUGAAGGAGAUUGAAUAGAGGAUAAAAAAUAGUUAAAGGAACCUUUGAUCGAAGCAAAGGGAAGCGAGAAGAUCGUCGUCCUCUUCGUUUGAUUGAUACAUCAUUAGAGAUUGAAUGCAGAAUUUGAGAGUCUGUCAGGAGAGAGAUACGCACAACAAAGCACUGUGUGUGUAGAGAGAAAUAUAAAUGAGAAAUAUAGAUGUCCGAGUGACGUCAAUAUUCGGAUUUUGUUAUCAGAAAAAUGGUAAAAUUAGUUGGAGGGAAUUUCGGAUAUUUUCAUAGCACAAAUCGUAUCCUUGCGAAAAAAAAAAACAGAUCGAAUUUUAAAAAAUACUUUGGUUUAUAUGAGAAGACAACAAAGUCAGAAAUAAGAAUCAAGUUUUAUUAAAGGCUCAUUUAGGUGAAUAUACAAAAUAUAUAUGGUAAUUAGGUAUUCAUGCAGAUUUCAAAAGUAUUUGCAAAUGUGGAUAUUUGUUGAGGGUGUAGUGACCAUUUUAUCCAGUUACAAAGAAAUGAAACGAUUAAACAAAUCAUGAUUUGGAUAUAUCACCAUAAGAAAAAUCCCAGAAAACAAAUGAAAACAAAUGAGCUCAUCAUCAUCAUCACAAAAAAUAAACACCAUUACAAACGCAUAACUCAAACUAAUCAAACAAGGGAAACAAAAACAUAAAUACCAGAAAAAAAAAUCGAGGACAAUAAGAUGGAUCAUCACGCAACUUCCGUUCAUCUUCUCCGCACAAGCACAGUCAGUUAUUAAUCUGUUCAAGAGAAACAAACAGAGCCAGUGGAAAUCUGAUAUGGUUCCCUAUAACAAACAGAGAUUCAUACCAUUUAAAAAAUCAAAAAAAAAUAAUAAUUGGAAUAAAAAUACUAGAAUGAAAAAGAUCAAAGAAGAUGCUUUAUAACAAAAAAAAAAAGAGAUCUUCUCCGCCGGCAAAGAUCAUAUCGGGAAAAACAGUUUCUUCAUUUACCGACCAGAUCUUUAGGUAAGUCAAAAAUUUGUGAAGACAACUUCAGGUAAGUCACCGAUUUGAGAAAAUAAUAUAUCACCUCUGAGAACAGAGUUGCUUCUAGAUAUGAAUAGAGGCUGAAGAAAGAGAAAUAGAAAUAGGAAGUGGUGAUGAAUUUAGUUUUAUCUGUUUUUUUGCGUAGAAAGGUUUCUUCAAAAUUUUAAAACUUCAUUAUUAAUACAGAAGCGUGUUGUUGGCAUGGACAAGAAAGGAGUUGUGUCAGUUGUAGGUCCAUCUGUGUGUCACAUUGAAUAAGGUUAAUGUUGGUAUUAUUGAAAAAUCAACAGUUGCAUGUCCGUUUACCUAAUAUCAAUUCAUAAUUUGUCUAUCUACUGCAAAUUCCCUUUAUUUUAUUUUAUUAAAUUAAGAUAUAUAAAAUAUACGGGGCUUUUGUAAAGCCACGCAUUAACCAAAGGCUGGGUCGGGACGUAAGAGAAUCGUUCAGUGUGGACUGCUUUUUUAAAUAAAGGUCUAUGUAGUCUAUGUUGGUUCGAUCUUAUUUUCUUAGAUUACUUGAGUUUUGUGUUUUUAUUUUGUUAAUUGGGUUUAUAAAUUUAAUUUUUAUCGAAAUGAAUGUAUUGGUUUAGUAAAGUUUGUUUCAGCAUGUAUAUAUAUAUAUAUAUAUAUAUAAACAUUUCUAAUGUAAAACUCCAUUUUAAAAAAAAAUAGAAUAACUCCAUAAUUGAAUUGGAUUUUGUUUAAUUUUAAUUCAUUUCGGAGUGGAAAUAGAACAGUGGAUAAAUAAGAAAUAUAUUAUUUCAUUUAUAGACUAAAUCUAUUUUUAUUCCCUUUUGGAAUAAAACCAUAAUGAGAUUGAAAAUGUUCUAAGCUAAAAAAACAAAAUAAUGUUAGUUUAUCUAAUAAAUCGGUGCGUACACGACCCCGACAGGCACUGGUGUCUGAACCCAGCACUACUGAACUAAAGAUAAAGAAAGAAACAUAGAAGAUCAAAGCUCCAAGGAAACUAAAGCACUUCAUCUGGCAAACUAUCUCUGGAUACAUCGCUACGGCGCAUAAUUUAUGAGACCGGCAUUGUGCGCAAGAGAGUACUUGUGUUCGUUGCGGUGCGGAGUCUGAAACCAUUAAUCACACUCUGUUCGAAUGCCCGCCUGCCUUGCAGUGUUGGGCACUGUCACAGAUCCCUGCAGCUCUGGGGUAUUCCCGCAACAAUCUCCUAUGGAGGGAAAAGAAGUAAGGCGCAAAUGAAGAAAUGAUGAAAGUCUUCCCAUGGAUAAUGUGGCACAUAUGGAAAGCGCGCAACGAAAAGUUGUUCAAUAACAAGGACAUUACACCAUUGGACACUCUUCAACUUGCCAUGAGAGAAGCUGAAAGCUGGACCAUUGCUCAACUAGUCCGAGAGAUGGAAGACACAGUGCUGAACAACGUUCUAGAGGAAGGAUCAGCUGAGAACCAAACUCCGACUCCACCAAGAUGGAGAUCUCAAGUAGAUGCAUCGUGGGCAAGAGAUCGAGAGGACACUGGUGUUGGAUUUGUGAUAAUGGAUGAAGGAAUGAUGAUCCAGUAUGGGGUAAAGAGAACACACAGAACUGAGUCUCCUUUACACGCGGAGGCUGAAAGGCUCAUAUGGGCACUGCAGGAAACGCUUAAAAGAGGUUCCAUGAUAAUGCAAUUUGAAUCCGAUUGCCAACAACUUGUGAACCUGAUCCAAAUAGAUGAAGAGGAGUGGCCGGCUUUGGCAACAGAACCAGACGAAAUCAAAGCUCUGAAAAGUAACUUCACCACCUUCUCCAUUGCGUAUCUGUCACGGUCUUUGAACAUCUGUGUGGAUGGCUUAGCAAAAGGAGCCCGCACACGUGAUCUUUGGUUACCUUACGUAAAUGGUUGUGCUCCAAAGUGGUUAGCCUUUGUUGCUAUCCAAAUGGAAACAACCUAAGCUUUAGCUUUUAUAUUUUCGAUGUCAAAAAAAAAAAAUCUAAUAAAUCGGUGUAGUAUACACAAUUAUUUUCUUCUGACAAUACGAAAACACCACGUUUUUGAAUGAUUUGUGUACUUUUGUGGAAAUGAUGCAUGUGGAGUUAUUAAAAUGUUAAUUUCGUUUAUGAUCAUUUCAAUGCGGUCAACGUUUCAAUGAUUAGCAAUGUCCAUAGAAGAAGACUAAACUAAAUGUCUUCAUUUGUCUAAAGUCGAACGUUGAAAGAGUGGCCACUUGGCAAGGAACAAAAAUCUCUUGGUGAAAGCAAGAACAAAACACACAAAGUGGGAAAACGACCAAUCAAAUAAAAAAAAGAUAGACAAGUGAAACAGUGUGAUCAUCGUUGAUGAAAAGUGGUAGAAUAAACGAAUUAUUCAUGUUUCUUCUGAGUUUUUUGACACUUGGAAGUUUGGAAACAAAACGUUCGUUGGCGUUUUCAAACGCCGCAUCUUCAAAUUUCCUAGCCCUACAAUCUUAUAUAUAAAAGAAAAAAUGAGCAUUUUCAUAUAUAUAUGAGGUGUAUUGAAUCUAAAAUUUGAAAUGAUUUGAUUUUUAGUGAGUUGAUGAUUGUAGGUGACUUUAAGAAUUUGUUGUGAUUUUUGUUAAACAAUUAUAAAAUCUCUUAUAAUAUUAUGAGAUUUGAAAUUUUAUUUUUAUAACUAAAAAUACCUCUGACACACUCUAAGAACAUUUAGAGGGAUGUAUUGAAUCUGAAAUUUGAAGUGAAUUGAUUUUAUUGAGUUUUAGAUGGUUUUAGGUGAAUAUUAGAAUUUUUUUGUGUGAUUUUUGUUAAACAACUCUAGAAUAUCAUCUAAAACUAUGAGAUUUGGAUUUUUAUUUUUAUAACAAAGAAACUCUUUUCAAACACCCUAAAAUUUUUUAAAGCACUCUAAAAUCUUCGACUUAAAUUUUGUUUAAUAACAGUAGAUUUCAAAGUGUUUUAUAUAAUGACAAGUUCAAUAACACUGGAUUUUAAAAUGUUUUUUACAAUCCUCGUUUAAAUAAUAGUAGAUUUGUCAUUUUCAUACAUCAUCUGAAACUUUUAACUAAAUACACCCUCUUUAAAGAACUCUAGAAUCUCCAACUUAAAUUUCGUUCAAUAACAGUGAAUUUCAGAAUAUUUUAUGAAAUAAUAAGUUCAAUAACAUGGAGUUUUAAAGUGUUGUUAAAUAAUAAGUUUUAAAGUGUUGUUAGAUUUAAUAUUAUAUUACGUGACUUUACUUUAUUCUCAAUAAUAUACAAAAUUUUCAACAACUCUUUCCAAAUUAACAAAUCUUUCAAUUUAUAAAAUCAACAAACUCUAUAGAAAUCUAAGUCCCACUAUACCAUCUUAAAUAUAUCAUGGAUUGAUAUAGUUCUUAAGUAAUUAAAAUAUACUUUGUUUUAAAUCCUAUUCAAUAUCACCAUCUAAUUUGAAAAGAUAGUGACAUUUUCGUGGGCCUUUUGUGUCGACACUUCAUAUCCAGUAACAAACUCUAUUUUUCAAUAAAGAGGCGUGUUUAAGCACUUAAUUUGACUUCCGUUUGAUUUCAAAAUUUUGGCUUUUGAUUUACAUCGAUCAUGAGUCUUUGAUAAUUCAUAUUACUAGGUGGACCGCCCGCACGCAUGUGCAGACAUUAACAUUAAUAUUAAAUUGAUAUUAUAUUUACAACUAUAUAAUACUUAUGUUACAUGUAUAUGGUUAAUAUGAAAAAUUCGAUGUUACAUAUUGAUAUUUAUAUUAUGUUCAUAUGAACAAAAAAUACAUUAGAACGUUUAGAAAACGAUCACAUUUAACACUAAUCUUAAAACAUCAGAAAAAUAUAACUUAGAAAAAACAAAUAUUUCAUGCAUAACCCCAAUAAAAAAAAACCAGCCAUGAAAUAUAAAAGAGAGAUUUGAAUUACCUGAGAUUUAUUAUCAUUGAUUUCAUUGUAACAGCAGAGAUGAUUUACGGUUUCCUUCUCUAAGCCUUGAGUCAGAAAAGAGGUAAUUAAAACAAAAAUAUUUAAAGAUGUAAACAAUCCCCAAAAGAUAGCAAAAAUAUUAUAUAAUUGAUAGGACAACGUCAAUGAGUUUCAAAGUUUUUAAAAAGCUUUGAGAUUACCUUUGGCUCUCAGACGUACCGAAGAGGAUCACGCACAAUAAAUAAAUUGCACUUGAUUAGCAUACAUAUCUUAUAUUAUAUUCUUGAUAAGUGAUUUAACUUUACAAAAAAAAAAGAAUUAUCUUUUUUUCGAAAGGGAUGAUCAGUUCCUGGAUAAACAGAGUCGUCUCUUUUAGUUAGUUGAAUUACUACUGAUGCAAAAAUAUAGAUAGAAAUACAACAUGGAGAGGAAGAGAACAAAAAUAAACGGAGAAGAAGAAUCCCACAUAAAAUUAACAGUAAUGGUGUUUCCGUCUAUGAGUUACUUAUUGAUUAUCAUACCAAAAGAUAGCAAAAAUAUUAUAUAAUUGAUAGGACAACGUCAAUGAGUUUCAAAGUUUUUAAAAAGCUUUGAGAUUACCUUUGGCUCUCAGACGUACCGAAGAGGAUCACGCACAAUAAAUAAAUUGCACUUGAUUAGCAUACAUAUCUUAUAUUAUAUUCUUGAUAAGUGAUUUAACUUUACAAAAAAAAAAGAAUUAUCUUUUUUUCGAAAGGGAUGAUCAGUUCCUGGAUAAACAGAGUCGUCUCUUUUAGUUAGUUGAAUUACUACUGAUGCAAAAAUAUAGAUAGAAAUACAACAUGGAGAGGAAGAGAACAAAAAUAAACGGAGAAGAAGAAUCCCACAUAAAAUUAACAGUAAUGGUGUUUCCGUCUAUGAGUUACUUAUUGAUUAUCAUACACCUGCGCAAGAUCACAAAAGUAGAAUUUAAAUUAUAACGAUCAAAAACAUAUGAAAACUUAAAAGAUAGAUGCGUGAAACUAAUAAGGGUGGCGUGAUAUUUAUAGAGCAAAUUAGUUUAAGUUUUAAAUGACCUAGUUUUCAAGAGAAGCUAUGAGAUAUAAUAUCUUCUAAUAAAUUUUAAUUCAGCUAUGAGAUAUAAUAUCUUCUAAUAAAUUUUUAACGAUAUUAUGGUUAUAAUAUAUACAUAAUUUUGGUAAAUCAAAUCUUGCUAUAUAUAUAUUUAAUAUUAAAUGCAUGAUAUUAGGAAAGAAUAUAUCUCGUCAGUUGAUUGCAACUGGUUUUUGAUAAAACAAAUCCACUAUAAGGAUUUAAAUAAUAGAUAAUAAGGAAAAAUACGGAAUUUUAACGUUAAAACUCCCCAACUAAGUUUGUUUUGGGUAAAAAUCCUCAAACUAAGUAUUUAAUGAAAAUCCCCCUAAACUAACUUUAUUUAAUGAAUUAAACUCUGAUAGGUCAUAAUUACUAUUACUACCAGUAAAUCUUUAGUUUAGGAGUUUCUACACUAAGUAAACAUAGUUAAGGAAUUUUACCAUUAAAAUGAAAAAAAUUCAAAAUAUUGUAAUAGGAAGAUAAAUUUUCAAAAUAUAUUUGAUAAAUUAACGUAUAAGUUUCUAUAAAAGACUUAGAACCUCUUAUAAUAAUUUAAAACGUCUGAUUUUUAUAAAUGUAUUUAUAAUUUUAUAAAUGAUUUAUAAAGCAUGCAUUAAAUUAUUAGACAUUAAUAGUUAUUAUGAUACUUUAUAUACAAAUAUAAUUAUUUCUAUACGAAUAUAAAACCAUUAUAUCAAUUCAAAUAAACACUUUUGUUUAUUAUUUUAUGUAAUUUAUAAAUAUAUAAAAAAAUUGAUCGCAUUAUUACUCUUUCAUAGUUUCAACAAUUAGUUACCAUAAAUAAUUAUUUCUAAUAUUAUGUAGAAUAUUUGGAAAGUGGUAAUUUAAUUAUACUUUCUUUUUAGAUAUAAUUAUAAUAAAUAAAAUUAAAAAUUACCGGUCAAUCAAAUUAUAACAAUUUGAAGAGUUCAUCUAUGAUCAACACGUAAUUAAAACAAAUCACUUAUGUGACUUCUCAAUCAAUAUAUAGUAGGAUUUAUAUUUUUAUAAAUAAUUAAUAACAUUAUAUAAAUAAUUUUAAAAUUGUGAUAAAUUUUUUUUUAUAAACAACGAUAAAUAAUUUAAAAAUCAUAUUAAUAAACAUGUUUGGAUUUUGUAAUAUUUAAAAUAGUUAUUAUAUAAUUAUAUUCUAAUACAAUUCAUCAAGUAGAGUAUAAAACUAUUAUAAUUAUCUUAUAUAAAAAUUCGUUCAUUAUAUUUUAUAGUUUAUAAAUAUUAAAAGUAAUAAAUAUAACAUUAUUAAUCUUUCUAUAAUUUCGAGAUUUAGUUGUCAUAAAUUGUUAUUUGUAAUAUUCUUUAGAUUAUAUGGCAAGUGAUGUUAAAUGUUUUUAGACUUACCUUAAAUUUUUCAAUCUAAUUUAAAUAAAUAAAAAUUAAAAACAAUCGACCAAUCAAAUUAUAAUAAUUUUUUUGAAACUUCACUUAUGAGCGACACGUCACGAGACUUCACUAAAGUGACUUCUCUUUUAAUAUAUAAGGAGAUAUUUUUGAAAUAACAAAAUUAAAAAACUGAAAAAUAAUAGUAAUUGCCAAUAUAUAUAUAUAUAUUUUUAACAUUGUUAACGAUGCCAACAACAUCUUAAAUCCUGACAGCGUUACAAACCCAACAAUAAAUUUAACGUUUGUAAUGGCAGAUGAUUGUGGAAGAAGUAAUAUUUUUGUACAUAUUUAUCUUUUAACAUUAUUAUUUUCUACUAAUAUAAUCAUACCAAAAACAUAUAAGUUUGAUCAAAUACUUCUACAAUAUGAAAUUUUUAAUGUUUUUAAUCAUUACAAAAUAUUUUUAAACCGAUAGCUUUUUUUAUUACCAAACAAAAUUUAAUCACAUGAUUUUUAUUAACAUAUUACUAAUGGAUUACCGAAAAAGUGCUCUCCGGCUGAAAAAUGAGAAAACCAAAGGCGGCUAAUUGAAAAUAGAUUAGGGUUAUCACUAAAAAAAAUAGAAAAACUAAAUACAAAUAGUAGAUGACAAAAAAAAAAAAUAGUGGAUGAAAAAAAUCUAAAGAUCCACCCGUCUAUCACCGGACUGGAACAAUGAUAACGACUAGUUCUACUCUUAUUCGCUCUACCCCAGCGCCAAAACACAGAUCCAAUUCGCCACACAAUUUUGCUUCUUCAAUCCCACUGGUGUUAACACCAACAAUAAAAAAUAAAGAUGAAUAGUUCAUCGAUCGUCUGGUAGAUAUUCAAAGUAUAUUGAUAUGUUUGAAGAAGUUUGUAGGAACAACAAUAAAGAGCAAAUGAUGCAUUAGUUCUUCGCAGAAAAUCUAAUCUAUUAAAAUAUAAUCCUACUUUUAUCUACGGAUAAAAGUUUGUCAUUUAAGUUUGGACCAUUUCCAGAGAGUUACAGAUAUUAAAUACACUCUACAUAUUAAUUUUACCGCAUUAUUUAAAUCAGACCACCACCGGUUAAUUUAACAAAACAAUUGUUCUAAUUCUAAAAUAAAUUAAAACUAUACCGUUGGUUAUUUAUGGUUAUAAGAACAAUACAAAACAAAACUCUAUCUACAUACUACAUCUUACGUACAGAGUCUGCUUGGACAUCAAGAUUGUCUAAGCGACCAUUUUUGAUUCACUUCAGUUCAUUAUUUGCACCAUAACAAAUCAUACCGUGUUAACUUAUUUUCAGAUUAUUAACUGCAACUUAUCAAAUUCAAAUUUAUUCAUAUAUUGUCAAUUUUGAUCUGACUGAACAUGCAAGGAGGUUAAAACUUUUGGAUGAUAUCUAUUGUAAAUACGAAGAACAUUUCUAUUUGUAUCUGCAACAUGGCAAACGAUCUGAUCACUUUCUGAUAUUUUAAACUUUCAGAAACCUGCAAUUAUGAACACAAUGUUAUCAUCCCAUUAUCAAUGUCAACCAUAUUCUCUUUAAUCAUAUAUAGAUUAGAAACGCUUCUAACCAUUAAAGUUAUAUAAGGUUUGUCUUUUGAUUAUCAUACGUAGACCGGUAGACAUAGAAUUCAUACACGUAUAUUUGGAGAUAUUAAUAUGUUCGUACGUAUAUAUGAGAUUUUAAAUUUAAUAGAUUACAUAUGUAUUUCUAAUUAUUUUAUAUCAAUACAAUACUAAAAGGAGAAUAUCCUCUCCUCUAAAGCUAUCCACGUCAUCUAAUUAAAUCAUCCAAUAAGGAUCAUUUUUUCUGCCACGUCUGCUAUGUUUCGGCUCAUCCCGUAGCCCAAAUUAAACUUCACAUCGAAAUCAACUUCGACUGUGAUUCAUCUUCCUCGAUUCCCAGCCGUUUUUUUUCUUCAAGUUUUCAUUCUUCAACGCCUCCUACCUAAUCAGGGUGUGGAAGAGCAGUCUCUUCUCUUCAUCUCUUCGUCUCUCUUUUUUUUUUAUUCAAACAUCUCUUCGUCUCUAUCUCUUCCUCCAGGUCUCUCUCUCUCUAUGUCUCUAUCCCGAUGAUGAAUCAACAAGGCCAUCCCGAACCUGAUUCCGAACCUCCUCCGACGAUACCUUAGAGUCGGUGGGUGUUGAGAUGAGGAAUGGUGAAGAAACUAAAUGUGUUUUUCCCUUGACGAGUCUCCUUUGCGGUUUGGUGGGUUGAUUGAAAAGUUAAGGUCUUUUGAUCCUGUUUCGUGUUCUAGUUCUCUGUAGUUAAGGUUCUUUACUGAGAAAAUGUUUUGGGUGAUGCAGAUCUUUGAUAGUUUUCAGAGAAGUAUCAACUUUUAUUGAAUUGUCGCUCAUCUUCUCUUUAAUUAUCAAUAGGGUGACACAAAGGGAUCAGCAAAAGGUGGAGAUGCAAAUUUAAAGAAAGAUGGUCAAUCAAGCCAAAAUGGCCAGGUACAGACACCUGGUCUUUCAUAUACUCGAGUUCCUUCAAAAGCAUCAGCUUUACCCUGAUGAGCAGGUCCUCAAGUUCAAGAUCGAGCUUCUGAACAAGACCAACAAGAGUCUCCACCACACAGAAGACGCUCCCCAAGGUAUAAUAAUGUCUCUGAAAGUUUGCCUCUUUCGUCUUUGUUGGUUGGUUGAUGAUGAAUGUUUCUGGUGAUAGAUAUGGAGGAAGGGCUGCACCGCUCGUUUAUAAUAAUUAUGGAGAAUAUUCGAAGAAUAUAUAUCAUCAAAUUUAGAAGAACGUGGCUUGCAAACUAAAUAGAUUUUUCUUCAAUAAUCAUUUGGCAGAAUAUUCUAACAACGUUAGUAAUAUAUUUGAUCAAAUCUAGCCUAGCGUUUCUCGCAAGCAAAAAAAACAUCUAACAACUUGAUUCAGUUAAUAUAUCUUCCUUAUUCUUUUUAUACGAGGGUGAGGAAGAAGACUAGAAGAUCUAUACACUCUUGUAUUGGUUUCUUCUUGCUCGUUGUUGUUGCUCAAUACAAUUUAUAUUUCUUUUUUCACAGAUCUUAUCUAGUUUUGGUUGAAGUUAAACUCUUGUUUUCAGACAAUUAUUUGAGAAAAAAUAUCGUACGAUUCCUGAAUCUUUUAAUGGGGAUUAAAUAAUUAUUCAGAUUGAUUAACUGGAUAGUGGUUUAUUAAACGUUUUCGAGCAAUGUUUUAAUGUUACAAUCCCAAAAUUAGAGUUACGUUAUUUUCUUAAUUUAUGGCUUAGAGGCCCAUAACGUACCGGCCCAUUAGCCCAACACUCAUAACAGGGAAUCGGCUCAUUCGUUAAGAUAUUUAUUGCGAGUAUCAAUUUCUGUUUCCAUCAGGAAAAGAAUAGGGCCAUAAAAUCCUUUUCCUGCUUAAAAUAAGAAUUUGAAUUAUAUUUUUAUAUUAAAAAAAUCAUUUUCCUAAAAUUUUUGCUCUCUCUCUAGACAGAUUAGGAGAUUGGAGAUUUGUGUAUAUAAACCUGAACAUAAAAUACAAUUUUUAUCAUUAGUUUAAUUCUCGCUGAGUAUCAAAAGUAAGAUGGUGAACACACAAGUUGGGGGAGCAAGCAUGAGGCCUGUUCGUUUCUCUAACGCAGCAUCACGGCGGCAACCAAUAAUUAACAAACAGGUUAGAGAAAUUUUAACAGUGUGUUGUUGUAUAGUUGCCGCCGGCGACUUCCAUUGUUCCUCUUUUCUGUAAUUCUAUUGCCGCUGCAAAUAACAGCAUCUCCCACCUCAUACGAGAAGUGCGCAGCUUCCAAUGAUUGCCUUUUCUAACUCUCUAAUUUAAUUGGUUGCUGAGCUGUCAUUAAAAUUUCUUUACAUUUUUGAUCGUUCGUGGUUGACGCAGCGCGUUCUUGAAACGAACAGCACUCGGUUUCUUCUGCUACAAGAAACAAAGGAGUAAUUAGUCUCGUGCACUUAAGGGAAAAAAAGGCUCCAGGUACCGAGUUAGCCCUCUCCAUAAACCCUGAUAUAUGGGAAAUCAAGAAACAUCUCACAGUGAGCGACAUGAGAAACAACCAAACACGCCUUAUGCUACCUAAGGAUGAUGUGGUUGCGCAUAUUCUGGACUACCUAACGGAUGAAGAGCGCCUAAUGAUCGAAGAUGCAAAUAAUCGAGGGUUGAGGAUCAGAGUGUACGACAGCGAUACUGAGUCUUUGCAUCAGCUGACUUUGAAAAAGUGGCAUUCAAGUGGAAGCUAUGUGUUCAUUAGCAAUUGGAAUGAGCAAUUUGUUAUAAGAAGAAACCUCGAAGCUGGCGAUUUAAUUGGACUCUUUUGGAAUACUUAUGCGUCAAGGCUCCACUUUCGUGUGAUUAGGCGUCAUUAUGACCAUUGAUUCCAAGGAUUUCUUUUUUAUUUUAAGAUUUAAAAUAUUAUAGAUAUGUGUGGGUUUUGUGUUAGAUUCACGUUUUUUAUUAGUUUCUAAUUUAAACCCAGUUGUGAUAAAUAAUUAAAUUGACUAAAAUCUUUUAUAUAUAUAUGUAGUUUGAUCAAAAUAUAUAUAUAUUUAGUUAAUUCAGUUGUUCAUUCAAUCAGUAACAUCAUGUUAUUACCAUUCAUAUUGCAGUGUCUUCUAAGGAGUUUCUUUUUCGUUCAUCUCAAUUGUAUUAGUUAUGAACCGGAUUGGUUUUCAAUAAACCGAACAAUAUAAAACUCGAGAUUGUGAACCACGAGAUUUAACGGUCAAUGUACUAUUCCCACGUUGGUUCAUAAUAUCGUUUCAAGUAGCGCGCUCUAUUUAUUUCCUAAAAGAGAAAGUGUUACCUACUACACACAUAUAGCUGAGAAGAGAGGGGUAAAUCUAUUUGUAAAAAAAAAGAAACCAGAUUGAGUAAUUCUUGCACUCUCUCGUCUUCCUCUUUCGCUUCGAGAUAAUACUGUAUAUCCCUGCGUAGAGAUCAGUCGAGAAAGAUGGGAGGAUUCUCUACGAAGAAGAUGAUGUUUCAGCAGCUUCUUACUUCAGUCCUGUUGCUUCAUCUCUUGAUCUCGUCUUCUUCUGGUGAGUAUCGAAUACUAAUGCUGUUCAAAACCAUCUUUGUUUGUUCAUUAAAGUUACCAUCUUGAUUCGUUAUGUUGCAAAGAAACCUCUUUUGAAAUUGCGAUGUCAUACUAAAAGAUCUUCAUAGUAAAAAAGAUGGACAUCUCGUUGCAAUGGCAAGACUUGUUCUCUCUAUUUCAUAUAGAAUCAAAACAUUGCAAGAAAAUCUUAUACAAAAAGUGUUGUUGAAUCUUCGAGCGUUGUUGUUGUUGUUAUUCAGGUGCACUAGUUAACUCAAGUGAGAACGGAGUAUGUAUUUCUAAAAGGGGACGACCAUACGAGUUAGAAGGAAAGCUUCCCAAGCCUGGUGAUCUAAACCUGUGUAAUGCCUUCCAUGACAAGACUUGCUGGUCUGCUUCAUUAGCUCUCCAAAACCUAGCUACGCAUGGAGAAGCUUCUAAAGAUGAGAAACAACCAAACACGCCUUAUGCUACCUAAGGAUGAUGUGGUUGCGCAUAUUCUGGACUACCUAACGGAUGAAGAGCGCCUAAUGAUCGAAGAUGCAAAUAAUCGAGGGUUGAGGAUCAGAGUGUACGACAGCAAUACUGAGUCUUUGCAUCAGCUGACUUUGAAAAAGUGGCAUUCAAGUGGAAGCUAUGUGUUCAUUAGCAAUUGGAAUGAGCAAUUUGUUAUAAGAAGAAACCUCGAAGCUGGCGAUUUAAUUGGACUCUUUUGGAAUACUUAUGCGUCAAGGCUCCACUUUCGUGUGAUUAGGCGUCAUUAUGACCAUUGAUUUCAAGGAUUUCUUUUUUAUUUUAAGAUUUAAAAUAUUAUAGAUGUGUGUGGGUUUUGUGUUAAAUUCACGUUUUUUAUUAGUUUCUAAUUUAAACCCAGUUGUGAUAAAUAAUUAAAUUGACUAAAAACUUUUUAUAUAUAUAUAUAUAUAUAUAUAUAUAUAGUUUGAUCAAUAAAAAUAUAUAUAUAUAUAUAUAUAGUUAGUUAAUUCAGUUGUUCAUUCAAUCAGUAACAUCAUGUUAUUACCAUUCAUAUUGCAGUGUCUUCUAAGGAGUUUCUUUUUCGUUCAUCUCAAUUGUAUUAGUUAUGAACCGGAUUGGUUUUCAAUAAACCGAACAAUAUAAAACUCGAGAUUGUGAACCACGAGAUUUAACGGUCAAUGUACUAUUCCCACGUUGGUUCAUAAUAUCGUUUCAAGUAGCGCGCUCUAUUUAUUUCCUAAAAGAGAAAGUGUUACCUACUACACACAUAUAGCUGAGAAGAGAGGGGUAAAUCUAUUUGUAAAAAAAAAGAAACCAGAUUGAGUAAUUCUUGCACUCUCUCGUCUUCCUCUUUCGCUUCGAGAUAAUACUGUAUAUCCCUGCGUAGAGAUCAGUCGAGAAAGAUGGGAGGAUUCUCUACGAAGAAGAUGAUGUUUCAGCAGCUUCUUACUUCAGUCCUGUUGCUUCAUCUCUUGAUCUCGUCUUCUUCUGGUGAGUAUCGAAUACUAAUGCUGUUCAAAACCAUCUUUGUUUGUUCAUUAAAGUUACCAUCUUGAUUCGUUAUGUUGCAAAGAAACCUCUUUUGAAAUUGCGAUGUCAUACUAAAAGAUCUUCAUAGUAAAAAAGAUGGACAUCUCGUUGCAAUGGCAAGACUUGUUCUCUCUAUUUCAUAUAGAAUCAAAACAUUGCAAGAAAAUCUUAUACAAAAAGUGUUGUUGAAUCUUCGAGCGUUGUUGUUGUUGUUAUUCAGGUGCACUAGUUAACUCAAGUGAGAACGGAGUAUGUAUUUCUAAAAGGGGACGACCAUACGAGUUAGAAGGAAAGCUUCCCAAGCCUGGUGAUCUAAACCUGUGUAAUGCCUUCCAUGACAAGACUUGCUGGUCUGCUUCAUUAGCUCUCCAAAACCUAGCUACGCAUGGAGAAGCUUCUAAAGAUUGCUUCUACUUCUAUGAUCUUUUGGAAUGUUCAAUCUGUCAUCCAGAUGUUGGAGUUCAAUCAGAACGUCUCCGCAUUUGUGCCUCCUUCUGUGACAGAGUCUUCGAGGCUUGCUCAGAUGCCUACUUUAGUACUAGUGAUGCUAGUAAUCAGGUAAAACAACGGUUGUGUUUUGAGAAUCUCAAAAGUUUGAGAGAGUGAUUUGGUUCUUGUUUAUGUGUUAGGUUAUAGUACCGUGUGGAGCAAGCAAUGGUAUCAUCUGCGUGAAAGUUUUCAAGUGGGGGACUAAUGGCACAUCCUUUUGUGAAGCAGUGGGUUUCACUGUUGAUCAAACAGCUGAUGUUUCCGCUUGUUACGGAAGCAGCAUAUCAAGUUUUGGACCAGCGGUGAAGUCACUCAUAAAGACUGAGAAUGUUGGUUGGUUUCAAGAUCUCAAGAAGCUAGUUAGAGAGAUGACACUGGUCCAACAGUUCUCUUGGGUUGUAACACUUAUUGUACUAGGAAAAAUGCUCUUUAACAGGUUUUGCAUCACUCUCUCUAUCUCUCGCAUAGUCUAGUACGUUUCUGUUCAAACCAGUUUGAUGUUUGAAUCUUGCUUUGAUAUCCACAGGUGGCGUUAUCAGCAGCAGAUGCGAGCUAUGAUCCAGAGGGAUGCGAGAAGAUUGAUAAGAUACAUGAAUGGGAGGAUUUGUAAUUCAAAAUUUUUAUUAGAAUAGCAUUCAAACUUGUAAAUAAGCCUAUAAUCAUAUGAAAUAGAUAUUUCACUGCUAUAUUUUGGGUGAAAGAACUCAUUAGGGAGUUUUGGGGACAUAACAAAUUGUAAACCAAACAGUUUUCUCAUUAGCAUCAUGUUAUUACUAUUGAGAAAAAGACCAAAAUAGCACUAAAUCAAGUUUUUGUUCCCAAACUAGCACUCAAGGCCAAAAGUCACAAAAAUAGCAUUCAAGGGGUGGGGUUUAGGGUUUAGAAUUUAGGGUUUAGGGUUUAGAGUUUAGGUUUUAGGGUUUAGAGUUGAGAAGUGAGGUUUUGGAGAUAAGAUUUCAAAUUUUGAAAAAUAAAAAAAUUUAAAUUUUUCAAAAGAUAAAAUGCUAUUUUGGUCAUUUUAGUUUUUGAGUGCUAUUUUUGUGAUAUAAACUUAGAAAUGUGAUAUUUUGGAGAUUUGCCCCUAUUACUAUUCCAUAAUGCAGUAUCCUCCAGUUUAUUAUUAGUUUCUUUCUUUUAAUCUCGACCUCUCUAUAAAGAGUUCUCAACUGAAUUCGUUUAUGAACCGGAGUGGUUUUCUAUAAACCGAACAAUAUAAAACAUUAAAAAACUCAAGAUUGCGAACCGGAAUUGAACGCUAAACCGAAAGUGUUGGCUACUAUAUAAAGUGAAGAUAGAGAGAGGGAGAAUCUGUUAGUAUCUUUACGCUUCGAGAUAAGUCACCGUUCAUAGAAGAGAAAGAUGGUUGGAGGAUACGUAACGAAGAGGAUGAUGUUUCUGCAGCUUCUUACUCCGAUUCUGUUGCUCCCUCUCUUGAUCUCGUCUUCCUCUGGUGCAUAUCAAAAUCUCUGAGUCUCUUUCACAUGUUUUUUGUAUCAUAUUCAAUAGGAAGUUUUGAUCUUUUUAGUUCAUCUUGAUUCGUUAUUAAUGCAGAGAUCACCUUGAGUCUACCAUAGUUACGAUCUUUUAGUUUCUUUUAGAUCAUCUUGAUUCGUCCUGUUUCAUAAAGUAAGAUGCUCUGUUCUCUCUGUUUCAUGCGUGUUGUUGUUAUUCAGUUAACUCGAGUGAGAACGUUGGAGUGUGUGUUUCCAAAGGUGGACGAUCUCAUCAGCCUUACGAGUUAGAAUGAAAGCUUCCUGAGUCUGCUGAUCUUGAGUUUAAGGAUCUAAACAUGUGUAGUAUGUUCCACGAGAAGACUUGUUGCUCUGCUUCUCAGAUGUUCUCUGCUUCAUCAGCUCUCCAAAACCUAGCUACUCACGGAGAAGCUUCUAAAGAUUGCUUGUACUUGUUUGAGCUUUUGGAAUGUUCAAUAUGUCACCCUGAUGUUGGAGUUCAGCCACGUCCUCUUCGCAUUUGUGCCUCCUUCUGUGAUACUGUCUUUGAAGCUUGCUCUGAUGCUUACUUUAAUACUAGUGAUGCUAGUAAUCAGUUAAAAGAACGGUUGUGUUUUGAGAGGUCUAAGACUCAUUGAGAGUUCACAAGUUUGAGAGUGUGCUUUGGUUCUUGUUUGUGUGUUAGGUUAUAGUACCGUGUGUAGCAAGCGAAGAUACCAUCUGCGAGAAAGCUUCUAUGUUGGAGACUAAUGGCACAGCCUUCUGUGAAGCAGUGGGUUUCACUGUUGUUCAAACAGCUGAUGAUUCUGUAGAAGAGCCUUGUUACGGAAGCAAAUCAAUUUUAGUGACAGUGGUGCCUGUGGUGGAGUCACUCGUAAAGACUGUGCGGCUUCAAGAUCGUAGGUACGAGCUGUUGAUACUGAAUCUACAGAUGUGUUUGAAUAGAGCAGGUUUUGUUCUAGCAUCAUUGAUCAUUUACAGGUUUGCAUCUCUCUCUCUCUCUCUCUCUCUAGUUUUUGUCUAAAUAUAUAUAUACAUUAUUUCCUUUCUAACCAAUUGAUAUAUGAAUCUUGCUUUGGAAUUUUAUAACUCAGGUUGGUUUAUCAGCUGGAGAGGGAUGCGAGAAGAUGAGAAGAAUUGAACAGGAUUAGGCGAAGAUUUCAACUCUUUUUGAGUUUUCUUAUCAUAUAGCAUUCAAACUUUUAAAUAGGGAAUUCUGGAAUCAAUAUCUCAUAGGGAGUUUUCUUUUGAGUUUUCUUAUAAUUCUUUUUUGAGUUUUCUUGUUGAGUUUUCUUAUCAUAUAACAUUCAUAUGGAAUCAAUAUCUCACAGCUAUAACUCAUAGGGAGUUUUGGGGACUCAACACAUUGUAAACCAGACAGUUUUUACUCAAUAUAGUAAGAGCCAAAACCAUGAGAGGCAAUUAAAUAUAGAAAGUUUAAAAAAUGUGGUUUGUUUUUUAACAGAUGCUUCUUCUUUGAUUACUAUAAGUAAAGUAGCCUUUGAGGUUCUCCUCCUACAUCUCAAGAAAUGCACAGAGCCUAACAAAGGGAGCAACCUAUUGUAUUUUCAAGACUUUCCCAUUUUAGGUACCUGACAAAACAUAAAACGAUAGGAAAGCCAUGUGUUAAGUUAUUCCUAGCUAAACCAAACUGUGUAGUAUUAUAAUAAGACAAUAUUACACUCCAAGGCAGUUUCAAGUUUUUAAUAACACUAUAAGACAGUUAUGACUAAGAAGUCCUUCAUGUCCUACAUAAACUGAGAAAAUAAUCUGCUAUCUCUAGACAGAUUAGGAACUUGGUUUAACCAUGGCGGCUGUAGAUAUUAGGGUUGCAUGCAGAUUUGACCGAAUAAGGAGGCGAAGUAAAAUUAUCUUUUUAUCCUUCAUCAAAGAAAAAAUAAAAGAACAUAAAAAAUAUACUGAGUAUGGAUUGAAACCGUGACUUACCUCUCAUUUAGAACAAACUACACCACUAGGUAACAGUAACAUAUGUGAUAUGUUUACGAAACAUAAUAUGGAACUUUGUGGGAGAGAAAAAAGUUUGAGAAAAUAUACAAUGCGAGAUUUAAGGUAGAUUUUGUGUAGAUUUAGAAAAUAUAUUAAUUGAAAUAGGGAAGUUUCCAUAUUUUCGUCAUUUGACUAUAAUAUGUGUCUUACGUUGAGUAGAACACUGCAUAAUGGGUGUGAAAUUUAUUAUUUCCUAGGCAUAACAUAAAGUAAUAGCUAGAACAGGUUAUAACACACAAAUAAGAUAAAGUAAAUCGCAGAGUUAUUUGUAUAAGUUGUAAUCAAGCUUUAAGUACACUAACGACAUCUUGCCAGAUUAAUACCAAAAGAAUUAUAUUUGUGUAUAGUACUUAGUAUCAGAUUUCUAAACUAAAUAGAUGACCGAAUGAGUAUUUUAUCCUCAUUUAGGAUUUAAAAAAAAUAUGAUUCCACUAUUUAAGAAAAAAAAUUAAACAUAUAAAUAGUCAUACUAAUGUUUAUAAUAGUUUCAUAAUUUUUUGAAAUUUUAAAACUUAAAAUACUAUUUUCUAUUACAAAAAAGUAAAAUAUGUCCAAAAGUGGUCUAAAGAUCAAAAGUCUUAUUGAGACAAAUAAAAGUUGAGAGUAUCUCAUUUUGUCAAUUUUCCCAUGUUUAUAUUACUUAACUUUUAAACACACAGCUAAAAUAUAUGUUUUCGGGUUAUAGGAUCAAAUGAUUAAUAGAAGUAAGCUUUGUUUAUAAUCACACUUAUGGUGUCAAAUGGUUGGCUGUGAAGUGUCUUCUCAUAAAAUGGAAGAUUUACAUUUCUAGCUUAUAACAAAACAACCCAACCCAACCAGUAGCAUACGGUAAAUGUUUAUUUCACAUUAAAAAGCCUCAAAACUUUAAUAUUUGGCAGAAUCUAACGUUUCCCGGUUCAUAAGUGUGACGUUUAAAAAUUUUCUUAUCUUUUACCAACCACUGAGAAAGAAAAAUUAGCAUAAAGACACUAUAUUCUUUAAUUUUUGUAACUUUUAAUCUUUUGCACUUUGUAGAUGCGAAUAUGUGGAGGACUUCUCACUUCUCACAGGCACAUACAUGAUAUCGAACAAGUUUUAGUUGUGUCCUAACGUCCUUUGUGGUCCUUAGGCAAGUAGUUCGGAUGAGAGUUAGGUCCAUCGAUUUAGGUCGUAUCAAUUAUUGUUAUAAUUUUUUUAAAAAUGUAAGGACAGUCGAAAGUUAUUCGACCAAAUUGUAUAGAUCCAGCACAUGUUCAGCAAUUAAUAAAUACUAACUAGAGUUUUGAUGGAUUUAUUUUCUAUAUUUUAGUUUUUUGUUAAGUGUAUUUUCUCAAAUGUAAUAAAUGUAUUGUUAUUGUCUAAUUGAAACAUCUUUAUUGAAGUAUAUUGAACAAUAUAAGAUUUUUGUGUUUCAUUUUAUUUAUAAUUUGAUCAUAUGUUUUUUGAUCUUCUAAUGCUUUGUUAUCUUGGUUAUUUUUAAAAAUUAUUUUUAGUAUUUAUGUGUCUCCUUUAAUCAUAUUUAAACUAAAUAUCGUUUUUCGUGUUGGUAUUAACUAAAAUUUUUGCUUUAAAAUUUUUGAAGAUAAUUUAUAAAUUUAAAUAAAUUUGAUUGAAUAUUUUAAGAAUUUAUAGAUUUAGAAGAGAAAAUUAUAUUGUUUUAAUUAAACUGAAAGUUGAAUAGACUUAACUUAUAUCUUUGCUGGAAAUUUUAUUUAUUUAAAAUUAUGUUUUUGAGAAGUAGUAUAAUACAUACAUGCAAAGAGUAAUAAGUUUGUAGGUACAAUCUGGAGCUUUUCCCAUUUUGUUACCAUAUUUGUUUCCCCUUCAAUAAGAGUUUAAGGGGUUUGUAAAGCUUUUUUUUUGAAACAUAAACAGUAUGUAAAUUUUUGUAACACUAAUCAAUGCUUCUAUUUGUUUUAUUUGUUCUAAGCAAUCCUGAAUUCACAUUGUUGCAGUUCGAGCAUGAUUAAAAGUGCAAAUGGUUAUUUCUGAACUAAUCAAUAGAAGACUGUUUUAAAAAUAUAUAAAUUUCAUCUAUUUUUAUAAAUAUGUACAUUUCUUCUAUUUUAUAUGUAAUAUUAUUAAAUAAAAAGAUAAACUUUUAUAUUCUAAUAUCUGUAGUAUGCUAUCCGGUUUAAAAUUUGGAAUUUUUAAGUUUGAUAAUACUUGUACUUCAUAUAUUAAUAAAAAAAUAAAAAAAGCUUUAUCCAUGAAGUUUUCUGAACCCAUACAGUAGAAACUCUAUAAGUUAAUAUUCAAUAAAUUAAUAAACGAAAAAAAUUAAUAAACUCCACCAGUUCUGAAUUGGGUCAGUAUAAAAUAUGACAUAAUCCGAUAAAAUAAUAAAAUAAUAAAUUUUUAAAUUUUUUUAUGUAAAUAUAUAGUCCCAGUAAAAACAUAAAUUAAUAACCAGUGCAUAUAAAUUUAUAUAAAUAUAGUAAUAUAUUGUCUAGUUUGCCUGUAUUUUAUUCAUAUUGAAGUUUAUCUUUAAAUUUUAUAAGUAUUUAAAAAUAUUGAAAUGUUAUUUUGUCAUUUUAUACUUAAAAUGCAUAUACAUUUAUGGUAAUAUUUUCUAUACACCUUAUAGUUGAACAAUAGUAACAUAAAAAGUUUUAUCUAUUAACAAUUAAUCAACCAUUCAUAUAUCUUAAAAUCAAAUACUUUUUAAACAGAAAAUAUAUUAUUCUAAAAAGAAUUUUUUUUGUAAAUUAAUAACUCGAAGAGAAAGAUAUCAAUAUCAAUAUUGUUGUACUGUGAUCCAAGUUAAUGAUCCGCUAUGCUUUUUUUAUUCAUCCCAUCGUCGGCAAUAGGGGUGGGCGUUCGGGUACCCGUUCGGGUUCGGAUCGGGUAUUUCGGAUAUUCGGGUAUUUCGAUAUAAGAGUAUAAAAUCCGUUCGGGUAUUUUGACAUUUCGGAUCGGGUUCGGGUUUUUUUGCUUCGGGUUCGGAUAUUUUCGGAUAUAUCCGAUAUCCGAACUUCAAACAAUUUUUUUUUUGAAAAACAUGUGUUUGACCUGUAUUGAAACCAUUCCUGAAACAUUAUACAAACCUAAGCACAAACAAGUAAAUCAAACCAAACCUCUACUGAACACAAACAAGUAAACCACGUUUCAUUCCUCUACUUGUAGUAAACUUUACAACCAAACGUCAAACAAAAUGGACUAACUUUUACGUAUCAUACAAACAUAAUCAAACUUCUAAUCAUCAUACACGCAAAAUCAAAACAAAAGAAAGAAAUUGGAAAAAGAUCGACAAUUACCUUUGUUCGGUUUCUUGACGUCACCGAGUAAGAAAAAAAAAGAUGAGUAUUUAAGGUUUCCAGUUUGUUAAUUUAUGAGAUUAAAUCUUAACCACUUAAGAAGAAUCUAGGAAACAUAAUUUUCGGGAACACGAAACGAUUUUUUAUGAUGUUUGGGUAUAUUGCACGACGAAAUUUUGGGAAAUGGAAUAAAUCAUAAAUGGUAAGGUUUUGGUUAAGUUCGGUUAUGUUCGGGUAAGUUCGGGUAUCGGGUAAUAACCGAUCGGGUUCGGUUAACCGAAAAGGGAUAGAAUAAAAACCGAUCGGGUAUUUGGCACUAACCGAACCCGAACCGAACCACUUACUUCGGGUCGGAUUCGGGUUCGGGUUCGGGUAUCGGUUAUUAUGCCCACCCCUAGUCGGCAAUACAGUAAAUGACACAAAUAGAGUGUAAUGUAAAUAGGUGUAGAUCACAGUAUAAGACGUAAUAUAGUUUUUUAUGUAUUAAAAAUUUUAAAACCUAACUUUUUAAUUACGAAAACACAACACAUGUGUGGGAGGAAAUACCCUAACUUCACAAGUUAUUAUUCAUUAUAUAUAAAAAAAAUGCAAGAACAGAGAGUUCAAAAAUAGUUUGGAUAAAGUUGUGCUACACUCCCUCGUCAUUCUCGUCCUCGAUGUUGCAGCUAUUGUUGCAGCUCCAGUCACACUUCAAGGCAAUGGGGAACGCGUGGUGUGUUGCUCCUCGUGACAAAAUGGUCCUCCUGCCUAACUCAUCAUCAACUGCUGAGAGGAGGCAUUCUCCUACUUGGAGUUUUCGCUGGGAUAAUCAUAAAAGAGGCCGUGUAGCUGGUGAAAAAGCCUCUCUCAGUUGGUUGUCUGAUGGGAUUAGCCGGAACGAUGUGUCUGACAUCAAAUCUGAUUUUUUAUCAUCUCAAGGUUCCCCUUUGGACAGCUUUCGGACACAGACGAUGCAGCCGGCCUCAGGUAAAAUAAGUUCAGCUUGUUUAGUAUUUUUUUAGCUUGAGGGAACACAUGUACGGUGUGUUAUUCACUUGAGACUUUUAGAUAGUAUUUUUCAGAACCUGUUUAAAUCAUGUUUCUCUUGAUAGGAUUUCUCUACUUGCUUCUUGACUUGCCUAUGCAUCUGUCUACAGAUCAUAAUAAUCUUACAUGACAUUAAUGAAUAUUUUGGCAGAUUUAUCUUUUCCAAGAAAUUCUUCCAUGGAUACAGUUUUUGAGCAGGUAAAGCUUGUUUCACCUAUAGUUUUGUUUUCUCACAUCUUUGAAACUUUUACAUUUGUUGAUACAUAACCUCUUUUUUGACGAUGGAUCUCAAAAUGGGACCCUCUCAAAUACAUAAAUAUUGGCCCGGUUCAGACCCAUGAUAUAAGUGACGUGGCAUAAAGUCAAUCUCUGAUUGGCCUGAAUUUCCAAUCCGACGUGGACGUGUUCAGGGGGCUUGAUAUCCUGAUUUUAGUUUAGUAUAGAUUUGAAAACUGAAAAUAUCUACUCUAUUAAUUUAGAGUCAUACUUUUUAUCUACUUAAUUGUCAUUUAAGUUUGGACAUAUUCAUAUUUCAUUAAAAAAAUAUAACAUUCAUUGCUAUUACAUUAACAAUACAAAAUAAUUUCCCCCUCUAAUAAAAAAAAUCGUUGACUACUACUCAUAAUGAAAUCUACACCUUCAUAUGUUCAAGCAUGAGUAAAUUAUAUUUCAUUAUUCGACAGUCCAUUAAUACAAAUGUAUCGAAUGAUUAUUUCCAAUGUAUUAUAUUAUACAAAUAUUUACACAAUAUGUAUACACACUUUUCAUUUGUUUCUUCUUUAUCCUCAUUACCUCCAUGUUUAAAUCUCUGGAAGUUGUGAAAAUCCUCAUUAGAACGAAUAAUAUUACUUCAUAUAUAUACAAACGAUUUGCGUAUUGAAAUAGGAAAUAUUACUUCGUAUACCAAUUUUUUCAUAUGAAAUAGAAUGUGACAAACGUUUCCAUAAGAAAGUUAAAUCCAUUCCAGUACUUUAAAUCAUUAAGUUAAUUUAAAUCUAUCCAUUCUAUAAAUUAAACAUUUCCAUAACAUAAUUAAUGUUUUUAAAAUUUAGAUUCUAAAAUCUUAACUAGAACAAACUUCCUAACGUCAAGCUAACAAAAAAAAAAACAUAAACGAUUUGUAUGUCAUCUUCCUAUAGUUUAAAAUUUCUAACUAUAUUAUCUAAAACAACUAAAUCAUUUCCUAACAUUAUCCUAACAAAAAAAAAAUAAACGAUUCUUUGGAAUCACGUAGUUUUUUUCAAAAAACGCAAACCUAAAGAAACGAUAAUAACAAUAAUCAAAUAAUUUAUUCCACAAAAUCUUAACAAAAAUCUAAAGGUAUUAAAUAUUUUACACUAUCUUUAGUCAUCUUAUAUUUUCAAUACUCAAAUAUUAAAAAAAACCUAGAUAUUUUCAUUUCAUUUUAUACUACCUAUGACUUUUAUUUAUUUUCUAAAAAAAAUCCAUUGAAGAUAAUUUGUGUGUACAAUAAAUGUUGAGCACACCUAAUAAUAUAUCAAUUCAUACACAAUUUUGUUUUUGUUAAAAAACAUUCAUACAAUUAUUGUUAUAUAAAAGUAAAACUAUGAAAAUAAUAACUCUAUACUUUAGGCUUGUUCUUUUUCUUGACGCGUGCGGCUAACAAACAUGAAGGAAAUUUUGUAAUUAAAGCCAUCAUUUUUUAAGUUUGUGACGCUGCGAUUAUUUUACGGAGUGUUGCCGGUGAUGUUAGUGACGCUGAAAAAACAGCGUUCAUCGGAAUUGCCUUUGUGGUUAAACGCGGAUGUCGCGGCCAUUUAUUCUCCACAUCCUUAAGCCUCAAAAAACGUAUAAUUAGGCAUUAUUGUGAACGCUUGAUGCUGAGGCUACGGUUCUUUACCGAACAGGGCUUUUGUAAAAACCAAAAUUUUAGUUGAGUCAUGUACCUGGUCGUAUCGUAUAUCAUAUUAACCAAUAUUAAUUAACUUACACAUUAUAGAUUGGUUUAUUAACCAAAUAAUAUAACUCAUCUACAAUUUUCUUAUUAUACAAACUACUAUACAACCAAUCGUUUAAAUGAUUAAGAAAAGUAAAACAAUUUAUAUACAAGAGCAAAACACACUUUUUGCAUAACAUAAAUCAAUAUUUAUGUAUGCAGUACAAUUAUGCACAAUUUUCAUCAUACAUAUUACUAUGCAUAAUCAUCAAACCAUUUUCUAUUUUAUUUUAUUUAAAGAUAAAAACAACUCUCGAUAAAAUAUCAUAUAUAUAUAUAUAUAUACAUGAUAUUACAAUGGUCUAAUUGUUUUGUUAAACAUUAAUAUUAAUAUUAGCUAUAAAUAAAUGCAAAACUAUCAUUUACAUUAAUAUUAAGUAUAUAUCUAAAUUUUGGUUAAGAAUUUUUCCUAUAAUUUUUGAAUACAAUGAAUCCUAGAAAUAUAUUCAAAUAUAUAUAUAUAUAUAUAUAUAUAUAGGUUUUAAGAAGUUACAAAUUAUAUAGAUAGUGGAAAGUUAACGCUUUUGAAAAUUUUAGCAUAACAAAAUUUAGAUAUUUUACGUAUAUAAAAAAAAAUAUAAAGCAUAUAAUUUUUCUCCAAUUGAAAAUGAUCAAAAAGUUUCAAAAAAUAUCAUUACUAUACAGACUUAAUUAAAAUAAUAAGAUAAGCCACUUAAAAAAUUGGAUCUUAACAACUACAGAAAAUAUAAGUUUAAGAAAUAAUAUUUCUAAUCAAUAAAGUGCAUUUAUAUGUUAUUAAUCUAGUUCUACUCAGUAUCAUAUAGUCUUACGCUCAUUACAUAAGUAAUAAAAUCAGAUAUAUAUCUGAUCGCUACAUUGGUAACACAAGUCCAAACAUCUAAUCUAACAGUUUAAUAUUCACAAUAGUUUUAUUUUUCUGACUUUAUAAAUUAAACAAAAUAAAACAUAACCCGCGUUUUAACGCGGAUCAUAAUCUAGUAUAAGUUUUAUUUAUCUUCUUAAUACAUAAAAAAAUCACCCUCGGUCAUAUAUCACAAUGCGUUCAAGAUUAUACUUCCUCUAUUUUAAAAUACAAAUAAUUUUACCUAAAAACACUAAUAGUAAGAAAGUUGUUAUUUUUUAAAAAAAUAUCAUUUAAUCAAUAAAUUCAACCAAUUAAAAAUUUAAUAUUAUUUAAAUAGUCACACAUUAUCUAAUAAAUGAAAAUGUGUAUUAAAAUAUGUAAACUAUUUAUAUUGUGAAACAAGUUUUCUUUGUUAAAACUACCUACAAUAGAAAACAGAGAGUGUAAAUGGUUUACAAUAUUUGUUACUUUUGAACUUUGGUUGAAGAACACAAAUAACAGUAAUCAUGCCAAAUAUUGUAAGUUCUAUUUAAGGUAUGACUUAGACUCUGAAUGGUGACGGCGGAUUUGAUAAUAAAAACGGUGCAGAAUUAAAGCGUGGAAUGGUGCAACUGUGGUUUUAAGUAAAAAGCAAUGCGGAAUAUUGUUUGAUUGAUGAUAAUACAUAUUUGCAGUAUUUAAUAAUUAUUUAACAAAAUAAAAUAAUAAUGGUAUAUAUUAUAGAAUAUAUUAAAAUAAUAUAGUAAUAUAUUCAUAUAAUAAAUAUAUUUUAAAAUAAAAAUAUCUUUUAGUGAAAUGCAUUUGAUAAGUGCAAUUCUGAGCAUCUGUCUACAGAUCAUAAUAAUCUUACAUGACAUUAAUGAAUAUUUUGGCAGAUUUAUCUUUUCCAAGAAAUUCUUCCAUGGAUACAGUUUUUGAGCAGGUAAAGCUUGUUUCACCUAUAGUUUUGUUUUCUCACAUCUUUGAAACUUUUACAUUUGUUGAUACAUAACCUCUUUUUUGACGAUGGAUCUCAAAAUGGGACCCUCUCAAAUACAUAAAUAUUGGCCCGGUUCAGACCCAUGAUAUAAGUGACGUGGCAUAAAGUCAAUCUCUGAUUGGCCUGAAUUUCCAAUCCGACGUGGACGUGUUCAGGGGGCUUGAUAUCCUGAUUUUAGUUUAGUAUAGAUUUGAAAACUGAAAAUAUCUACUCUAUUAAUUUAGAGUCAUACUUUUUAUCUACUUAAUUGUCAUUUAAGUUUGGACAUAUUCAUAUUUCAUUAAAAAAAUAUAACAUUCAUUGCUAUUACAUUAACAAUACAAAAUAAUUUCCCCCUCUAAUAAAAAAAAUCGUUGACUACUACUCAUAAUGAAAUCUACACCUUCAUAUGUUCAAGCAUGAGUAAAUUAUAUUUCAUUAUUCGACAGUCCAUUAAUACAAAUGUAUCGAAUGAUUAUUUCCAAUGUAUUAUAUUAUACAAAUAUUUACACAAUAUGUAUACACACUUUUCAUUUGUUUCUUCUUUAUCCUCAUUACCUCCAUGUUUAAAUCUCUGGAAGUUGUGAAAAUCCUCAUUAGAACGAAUAAUAUUACUUCAUAUAUAUACAAACGAUUUGCGUAUUGAAAUAGGAAAUAUUACUUCGUAUACCAAUUUUUUCAUAUGAAAUAGAAUGUGACAAACGUUUCCAUAAGAAAGUUAAAUCCAUUCCAGUACUUUAAAUCAUUAAGUUAAUUUAAAUCUAUCCAUUCUAUAAAUUAAACAUUUCCAUAACAUAAUUAAUGUUUUUAAAAUUUAGAUUCUAAAAUCUUAACUAGAACAAACUUCCUAACGUCAAGCUAACAAAAAAAAAAACAUAAACGAUUUGUAUGUCAUCUUCCUAUAGUUUAAAAUUUCUAACUAUAUUAUCUAAAACAACUAAAUCAUUUCCUAACAUUAUCCUAACAAAAAAAAAAUAAACGAUUCUUUGGAAUCACGUAGUUUUUUUCAAAAAACGCAAACCUAAAGAAACGAUAAUAACAAUAAUCAAAUAAUUUAUUCCACAAAAUCUUAACAAAAAUCUAAAGGUAUUAAAUAUUUUACACUAUCUUUAGACAUCUUAUCUUUUCAAUACUCAAAUAUUAAAAAAAACCUAGAUAUUUUCAUUUCAUUUUAUACUACCUAUGACUUUUAUUUAUUUUCUAAAAAAAAUCCAUUGAAGAUAAUUUGUGUGUACAAUAAAUGUUGAGCACACCUAAUAAUAUAUCAAUUCAUACACAAUUUUGUUUUUGUUAAAAAACAUUCAUACAAUUAUUGUUAUAUAAAAGUAAAACUAUGAAAAUAAUAACUCUAUACUUUAGGCUUGUUCUUUUUCUUGACGCGUGCGGCUAACAAACAUGAAGGAAAUUUUGUAAUUAAAGCCAUCAUUUUUUAAGUUUGUGACGCUGCGAUUAUUUUACGGAGUGUUGCCGGUGAUGUUAGUGACGCUGAAAAAACAGCGUUCAUCGGAAUUGCCUUUGUGGUUAAACGCGGAUGUCGCGGCCAUUUAUUCUCCACAUCCUUAAGCCUCAAAAAACGUAUAAUUAGGCAUUAUUGUGAACGCUUGAUGCUGAGGCUACGGUUCUUUACCGAACAGGGCUUUUGUAAAAACCAAAAUUUUAGUUGAGUCAUGUACCUGGUCGUAUCGUAUAUCAUAUUAACCAAUAUUAAUUAACUUACACAUUAUAGAUUGGUUUAUUAACCAAAUAAUAUAACUCAUCUACAAUUUUCUUAUUAUACAAACUACUAUACAACCAAUCGUUUAAAUGAUUAAGAAAAGUAAAACAAUUUAUAUACAAGAGCAAAACACACUUUUUGCAUAACAUAAAUCAAUAUUUAUGUAUGCAGUACAAUUAUGCACAAUUUUCAUCAUACAUAUUACUAUGCAUAAUCAUCAAACCAUUUUCUAUUUUAUUUUAUUUAAAGAUAAAAACAACUCUCGAUAAAAUAUCAUAUAUAUAUAUAUAUAUACAUGAUAUUACAAUGGUCUAAUUGUUUUGUUAAACAUUAAUAUUAAUAUUAGCUAUAAAUAAAUGCAAAACUAUCAUUUACAUUAAUAUUAAGUAUAUAUCUAAAUUUUGGUUAAGAAUUUUUCCUAUAAUUUUUGAAUACAAUGAAUCCUAGAAAUAUAUUCAAAUAUAUAUAUAUAUAUAUAUAUAUAGGUUUUAAGAAGUUACAAAUUAUAUAGAUAGUGGAAAGUUAACGCUUUUGAAAAUUUUAGCAUAACAAAAUUUAGAUAUUUUACGUAUAUAAAAAAAAAUAUAAAGCAUAUAAUUUUUCUCCAAUUGAAAAUGAUCAAAAAGUUUCAAAAAAUAUCAUUACUAUACAGACUUAAUUAAAAUAAUAAGAUAAGCCACUUAAAAAAUUGGAUCUUAACAACUACAGAAAAUAUAAGUUUAAGAAAUAAUAUUUCUAAUCAAUAAAGUGCAUUUAUAUGUUAUUAAUCUAGUUCUACUCAGUAUCAUAUAGUCUUACGCUCAUUACAUAAGUAAUAAAAUCAGAUAUAUAUCUGAUCGCUACAUUGGUAACACAAGUCCAAACAUCUAAUCUAACAGUUUAAUAUUCACAAUAGUUUUAUUUUUCUGACUUUAUAAAUUAAACAAAAUAAAACAUAACCCGCGUUUUAACGCGGAUCAUAAUCUAGUAUAAGUUUUAUUUAUCUUCUUAAUACAUAAAAAAAUCACCCUCGGUCAUAUAUCACAAUGCGUUCAAGAUUAUACUUCCUCUAUUUUAAAAUACAAAUAAUUUUACCUAAAAACACUAAUAGUAAGAAAGUUGUUAUUUUUUAAAAAAAUAUCAUUUAAUCAAUAAAUUCAACCAAUUAAAAAUUUAAUAUUAUUUAAAUAGUCACACAUUAUCUAAUAAAUGAAAAUGUGUAUUAAAAUAUGUAAACUAUUUAUAUUGUGAAACAAGUUUUCUUUGUUAAAACUACCUACAAUAGAAAACAGAGAGUGUAAAUGGUUUACAAUAUUUGUUACUUUUGAACUUUGGUUGAAGAACACAAAUAACAGUAAUCAUGCCAAAUAUUGUAAGUUCUAUUUAAGGUAUGACUUAGACUCUGAAUGGUGACGGCGGAUUUGAUAAUAAAAACGGUGCAGAAUUAAAGCGUGGAAUGGUGCAACUGUGGUUUUAAGUAAAAAGCAAUGCGGAAUAUUGUUUGAUUGAUGAUAAUACAUAUUUGCAGUAUUUAAUAAUUAUUUAACAAAAUAAAAUAAUAAUGGUAUAUAUUAUAGAAUAUAUUAAAAUAAUAUAGUAAUAUAUUCAUAUAAUAAAUAUAUUUUAAAAUAAAAAUAUCUUUUAGUGAAAUGCAUUUGAUAAGUGCAAUUCUGAUAAAAUAAGCGAUACAAAAUAAUGUUUGAUUGCUGAAAAAUAUUUUACGGGUUUGCUACAUAAUAUCAAAAUUAAUAUAGAAUAUAAAAUUUGGUUAUGAUUCUUGGGUUCUAGAGAUAUAAGAUUUGUUUGGGUAAUUGAUAGGAUCCAAACAGAACCAAGAAAAGAGGUUUGGUUUGGUUCAAAUUUUCGGUUCUGGAUAAAUGUGCACAUGCUUAUCUAUUCUUAUAUUUAAUAAAUUUGGUAUGAUUAUUAUUUUUAUUUUUUUUUCAUUUUAAUUAACUAUUUUGAAUAACUAUAUAACGGAAAUAUUAUCAUGUAUGAUUUUAACAAAAGUUUAAGUAUCUAAAUUUAACAAUAGUUAUUAAUAGUUGAUUAUAAGAAAACACAUAUAUAUCACACUCAUAUACACUUAUUUAUGUUUUCCUUAACAUAAUUAACAUUUUUAAAUAAAUAAAUAAAUUUUAUUCUGAUAAUUCAAUUGUACAAUUUUCUGUUUAAUUGAAAUAUUUAGAUAUGAAAAUUCACAACCAAAUAGUUUAUAUAGUUAUAAAGGAAAAAUGUAAAAAAGAAAGUAACCAUGAAAAACACACGUUAACUACUGUAGGUAGGUGCGGUAUCGUAAAAAUGUGAACAAACAAAAAGUUUUUUUUUUUGGUUUGUUAAGUGCGUUAUUUUAAGAAUUUCGUCCCCUUUUUUUACUGUUUUUGUGAUUGGUGACUUUUUCAAUUUUCAUUCCAUGUAAACAAAUAUGCACCGCUUUUCAUUCACCAGUCGCAACCUUAAUAGCAUGUAUAUUGAGAAUCUUUUAGCCAAUUUUUUUUCUCUCAGUUUCACUUAUAUUUGCCAAGCAGAUACGCCAAGUACUGUUUAAUUAUUAUAAGUAUAAAGUUCACUUUAUACUCUCACUGUCUUUGGAGUGAAAAAUCAAUUACCCGAAUAUUUAUUUUUUCUAGCCUUUAUUACUCUACUAUUUCCUUUUAAGUACUCCACUUUCAUUAAGCUUACUCUGCAAUCCACCAGUCACACCCUAAAUACUAGGUAGCAUAUGAUUAUGUAUAUAAUCUGUUAUUUUUUUAUUAAAAAGAUUCACACACCUUUUUAUGCAUUUCCUAAAGGAACCAAAUGAACCUUAUCUUUUUCUCCUUCCGAAAGAAAAGAGGAAGACUUAUUCCCACUGAAGUUCAAGGGUUAUAAAUUAUUUUUAUUUUAAAAAGAGAUUGGUGUUCGUCACACUGGACGCCAACCAUCAGACCUGAUUGUGGUUCGAGUCCACAAACCACUGAGAGCUCUGGCGUCGGUUCUCGUUACACUCGCACCUGAUACACGGGAACAGGCUUCCCUUCCCGGUAGUACUUCUGUUCUUCUUCUGUCUGAGGCAAAGGCGGGGAUUCUUGAACGUAAAUCAGUGCACGAGCCUAUGCAAACUUAGUUGUUCAUGAGCAAGCCAGGCGUUCCUCUCCUAUUAGUCAAGUAAUUGGCAUUCCUCGGGGUUGACGUCGUCGUUAAGGUUCAAGAGUGGCUCUUAUAAUGACAGGAAUGAAAGGAGUGAGCUCAUUCAUUCACUCGCUAGGAAGAGGGCGUCUCCCCAGAGUCAGGAGUUCUUGCCCACUGGAGUUAUCCAAUUCUUGCGUUUCUUUUAUCUAUCUCCCCAUUCGAACGGUCAAUCAUAUCAAACAAAAUAGUCUAUACUUUCGGCAUGAAGCUAUAGGAACUUUGUAUACUACUAUCCCUUCCCCAACCUUCUGAGGAACGAAUUAACUAGUAUACAUAUAGGAUACACCAGUGCUAAACCUUAUCUCGCCAUUAUUAUAAUGGCGGGAACCAUAUUCCUUUUUACCUUUCUAGUUGAAACCCAAACAAACCACCGGUGAUUGAUGCCGUCCACCGAAAGACCGAAUUUCGCCAUAAAGAUUAUAUGUUUUCUUUUUUACUUUGGGUCAAGUUGAAAUUUCAAAAACUAGAAUCUAUCGCACGUAGUAGCGGACCCGACCUCUUUUUUUGGGGUGUCAAAAGGUUGGGUCAGACCAGCAUAAUUUUUUUGUUAUAAAAAUAAGUAAAAUGUUUACAUCUGCUGGGUUUUUACUCUGGAAAGGGGUUGCAAGAGAUGGAACUUUCGCCAAUUAAGCUAUAUUUUCUUCCUGUACAAUGAAAAAACUCCUUAACAUUUAAAUUUGACAUGCGGCAGCUGACAUCCCUUCCUAACACAUGGGUCCGCCUCUGAUCACACGUGCUGUCAGAGUUUGCACGUGAUAAUACUAUUUUAAUUUUUUUUCAAAAAGAAUCUCUUGACCGAGAAAAGUGUGAGGCUGAAAUCAAAUUUUGUCCGUUGUCACAAAAUACAUUUUUUCAACUUAGCCGUCAGGCCCGUCACCUUGACCAUCCAGAUUCAUUGGACUUCACUCACAAGUUCAAUACUUUUGUCUUAGCCCCUCGAAUAAUUAGAAACUGCACUAAACGCAGGCUGCCACUAUUCUUUCCAUAUAUUUGCCAAUCCCAAUCAUUUAUUUACUAUGACAAUGGUACGCAUACAUUUUUAGGAUGCAAACUACUCCGCAUACAUUUUUAGCCUUUUAGGAUGCAAACUACUCCAUGAUCAAAUGGUUUAUUCAAUAAAAUAAGGAUGCUUUUGACUACCCGCACGUGCUUUAAAAUAAGUUCCACUACAUUCUCAAUAGUCAGCAUUACCUCCACGUAUAAAUAAACUCUCACUACUAUCAAGUAUCAACACAUGUACAUGCAUAAAAUAUAACUUAAAAGCUUAACUUAUGGAACAUAAAGUGUCUAACACGAAUGAGGUGAAAUACAGAGGUGUAACUUGUAAGGAAGCGUCCGUGGGGAAAAUAUGCGGCGGAGAUACGGGACUCGCCAGACAUGAUGCGAUCUGGCUUGGAACGUUUGACACUGCGGAAGACGCGGCUCGGGCCUACGAUAGAGCUGCUUUUUCUAUGAGAGGCCACAAGGCCAUUCUAAAUUUCCCUCACGAAUACCCAAUGAUGACAGACGAUCCAAGUGGCGCCAGCGAGAAUGUGGUGGCUUCUUCGUCGUCCCAGUUUAGUGGAACAGACGGUGGUAACAUGAAAGAAGUCAUUGAGUUUGAUUAUUUAGACGAUAGUUUAUUGGAAGAGCUUCUAGAAUGUGGAGAGAAUUAUAACCAGGAGGAAUGGAGGAUCAGAAUGACACAAACCAUUUAUUAUAGUUUUUCUAAUGUCGGAGGAACGAGUACUAAUCAUGAUUUUGUCCAUAAUUAAGGAAGGUUUUCUGUUAUGUCACUUUUCGCGGAAAUUUUAAAUGACUAUUUUCUCAAAUGUUACUUUGUAUAAUAGGGAGAAUUUGCCAAAUGGCCAAGUUUGAAAAGAAAAUUAAGUGCAAACCAUUGAUUUUGACAUUAUUAAUUUCAUAACAAUUAUGUCAAGUUUUAUCCAGUACUAUCCUUUUUUGUUCAAGUUGCCGGUAUUCGGAUUAAAAAAAUUGAUGGCAUCAAGAAUUUGACAUUCCAUCAUUGAUUAUCACAUGUAAUACAACCAACACCACACGUUUGUUUAGCACAUAAAUAUGCAUCCAAUUUUUCUAUAUUAUAGCACUGAAAUAUAAUAGGAUUCCAAAUCCACUCACAUUUAGUAAAUAUUAAACUUUACUCCAAACCUCAACUCCUAAAUACUAAACCCUAAACUCUUAACAUCACCCUUCCAUCUAAAUACUAAACCCUAAACCCUUAUUACUGAACCCUAAACCCAAAUAUAAACUUUAAACCCAAUUAUUAAAAUCUUUAAUUAGUAUAUAAUAUUACGUAAUAUUAAACUAAAUCCAAUCCAACACACAACUCCUCAAUGCUAAACUCAGACCUAACUUAUGAAUACUAAACCCAAAAAUGCUAUCACUAAACCCAAACCUAAACCCCCACCUUCCAAAUACUAAACCCUAAAUCCUAAUCACUAAACCUUAAAUCCAAGUAUAGACUAUAAACCCAAAUAGAAUGAAACAAUAUACAUAGUAUAGUACAAAAUGGUGAGAAAAAUAGAACACUCUUUAUUAAUCGUCAAAUGGAACAUACAUAAUGCGGUCACUAACCCCAAACCUUAACCUCCACCUUCCAAAUCCUAAACC